UUGUGGGAUUCUUCUUUUAGUGGGCUUGGUUUUUUGUGCUUUGUAUUCUUUCAUUCUUUCUUGAUGAAAGUUGUGUUUUUCAUUAUAAAAAGAACAAAACUACUGAUAAAGAGUUUUGACAUUAAAUUGAAAACAAGUAGAUGCUUUACCAGAUACGGGUAUGAAUCUGCAUGUAGAAGUACCAUUUACAACUUAUAAGAGAAGAUUCAUCUUUUCUAUGCAGUAAGAAAAAGAAGUGAAUGUGCAACUCAGUUGAAAAAAACUUGAGAAAAAUCUUUAGUGGGGCGAGAGCAAACAUACCAAUAAUGUCCCUUCUAAGCUAUGAGUCGGGGGUGUUAUGACUAAAGCCAAGAAAUAUGGAAUCAACACUUUAUGCAUCUGCAAUUACAAAUAAACAAAAAAUACAAUCCUUAACACCAUGUGAUAUUUUUUAUCGCCACAAUUAUCGAGAAAAAAAAAAGUCCCUGUGUUUCUAACAUGGGUGAUUAAAUAACCAUCAUUUUAAUUUUUGCAUUCUUAAACAAAAACGUGAAUUGAAAUACAUAACAGUUGGACAAUGUUUAAAAGACUUUGAAUGGCCUCCGAGUGUACAUCAGAGGAAAUGGAAUUCUAAAUGUAGUUUCGGCCUAUAAAUAAAACCCAGUUUUCUCAUGCAAAAUCUCAAGAAAUAGAGAAAUGUGAGCUUCAGCAACUUAUCUAUGGCAGUAAUGCUAUUAUUUGUCAUAAAAAUGGGGGGAGGGAAGAACAGAAUCGAUUAAAAUGGCAGCAUAUGGAUAUUAAUAACUGACCUCCUGAAUAAUCUUCUCUUCGGGUGUGAAGAGAUUGGGGAACAACCAAGGAACUGAUGUUCCAAUAGUCCCUAAUACCAAACCAAAUAUAGCUCCUAUGAUCAUGAGUGACUUUAGCAACAUCCAAGCCUACACAAUAUAAAAGAAUUUCCACAAUAAAUACAAUGACUGUCAAUUCUUGGCUCUAGGUCAUAAUUUACCCACCACUGCUUAACGAGUGUCAAGGCAAGGAAAUUUUUAAUAAUUAUGAAUAUCCAUAACAAUGUGUGAGACCUCCUAUUAUGGAAGUGUAUGAAAGAAAGAAGGGCAAGAAGGGAUUUCAACAAGCAGAAAGUUAGGGGGGCCCAGCGGAAGAAUAUUGUACGUGAAGGAAACAGCUAAAGGGUUUUUGUACGGUUUAGGGAUUCAGUAUGGAGAGGGGAUGUUUGGGAGUGAGAGCUCAUUUGAGGAGAGACGGCUCUCUUAGACUAGCCGACUGAUUAUUUUUGUUUCAUUUCAGUUUCCUUGUUCAAGCAUUUACUCUGAUCGUGAGAUAUUUUGUGAUUGUUGAACACUUGGGUUUCUUGUCGAUAUAUAAUAGAACACAGGGAGGCUGAUAUCCCCUAUUUUGGUGGUUCUUGGGUGUCCUUUUGGAAGUGUUUGUGUGUAGUUCUAUGUGCAGGAAGUUCAGAUACCUAACACAAUGUCAGGAGUCGUUUCUAGCUAUAUGAAAUUCGUGUAACUUAUAGUAACAUUCAUCCAAAACUAUCGUAAUAAUAAAUAGGCAUAUCAUUAGAAAUUGCAAUUCUCACCUUAUCCAAACUACGAUUCACUCCAUUUAUCAACCCAGGCAUAAAUGAUUGAGCAGUUUGAGAUAGAGGUUCACCCCAAACGGUACACAUACAAAAUGUUUGAAUCAUAACCUGAAAUUACAUAGCAAGCCAUCAAUUUGACAUGGCCAAUGACUUCUAAAGGAAAAGAAAGAGGCAUACUUGCAUAGAAGAUAACAAUGAAAAGAAAUAAGUGACAUAACCUGAUGAGCAGCCAUGGUGUGUGUGCCCAUAGAUGUAGCGUAAUAAAUGAGGAGAGAAUAAAAAACCACCUAAGAGAAAAACAAUCUUAGACACUUCACUCAAAGAAAAAGAGAUGAAUGUAAGGAUAUAUACAAAAUAGAACCUUUGACAUCAUUGUUAGAAAUACAGGAGCAGCAAGGCCAAGUAUUGACAAAAAUUCACCAGACGAGGGAACUGAUAGAGAAUAUCCGUCGUAUCCUUUCUUAUUCAGUGCUUCUAUCAUCAUAUAAGCUGCAAUAAUCUAAAAACCAUAUAGGAGAAACAUGAGAUCUAAUUGAGGUGGUGUGAACAGUACAGAAAUGCAGUGAAAGUAAACACAUUAACAUGAACAGAAAGAAACAUACCUGUGAUGCCAUGGUUGCCCACGCAGCACCAGCAAUCCCAUAUCCUAAAAACAUGCAUAGGACCACAUCACCUAUACCAUUUACAAUACUCGCAACUGCCAAAGCCUUCAAAGGUCCCCAGGAAUCUUUCAUGCCAAGACUAAAGCAAACAUGAAAAUUGAAGUUAAUAAAUUUGGUGAAGUAUCAAGCAACUCGUGGAGUUAUUCUGGAAGUAUGCAGAAACGAUAUUUUAUACUAUUUCACUUUUGGUGCCUCAUCUGAAAGCUUAUGAAAAUAUUUCAACAAUCUGCGCUCAAGUUCACAGACGAAACUCAUGAAAUAAACCACAGAGGUAAGGGCCUCAAGUCUAAAACAUACAUUAGUCAAGGUGUCAUACUCACAAAUAAAGCCAGUAGGCAAACCAAUAGCUUAAAGGUGAAAGGAUAUCAGUUUUUUUACUUCUUUUUCACUUUCCCAUUUCAAAGCAAGGAUGGCAAAGAAAGCAAGCCCACGGGUUCAUAUGCCAACAGCGAUAAUCAUAAAACAAACAGACCAAAGCCAUGACAAGAAAAGUAGAUGGAGCAUUGGCAUGAAUCUAGUAAUAGGAACCUUGCACUUUGAGCGACCCAGCCAGUAAGAAUUGCGGGCCAUGCCAAACCUCGAAUCUACCAACGAAAAGGAUUCUGUUUAACUUAAAGUCAUUGAACCAAUUAUCACAAUAAUAUGGUACCACGAGAAAAGUAAUCAGAGAAAAAGAAACACAACAAUUUGGUAAAAAAUACAAUAUCAAGCAAACAGACCCCAGUGAAAGUAUUACGACAAUUCCUAAAAAACUGGACAAGCUGAAAUUUCCAUACAGAAAAAAAAUGUGGAAGUGUUGUUCAAAAAGCAAGAGAGACAUAAAAAAAGAAGAAGUACAUCACAAAUGAAGCUAUAUAAGAUAAACUUCUAUUGCAUUUUCAAAUAUAGAUACCAAGUUCAUUUAUUGCUUCAAUUUUACAAGUCAAAAGACAAACCUGAAUGUAGGUAUUUGCUGCAGGUAUGAUGUCUGCAUUCUUUGCCCCCACAAAAGCUGAAAAUUUACAAUAACAUCCUGGUACGUUAUUCUUCUAACUUUAAGGAGAAGAAAAGGCUCUAACUGUCUAUGUGGUGAGAAAUUAAAUAAAUAGUCCAUAAAAUUGAUGAAAGUAAUGGAUCCUUCAUUUAACUAAGCAAUAAUGUAGAAGUUGAGUACCAGUUAGGGCCACCGAACCCAAUAGUUUGGUACUUAAGAGCAUCAAGAAGCCAGCCAUUAAUCCAACAAACAGCAAUACAGAUAUAUGAUGCUGCACUUCGUUUUUAUCCUGUAACAACCCUUCGAGUCAAGAAAUGCAGCCAAGUAUUCCAUAUCUGUAGUAAAAAGUUCUGGGGAAAUUGUUAGAAGUAACUCUAAAAUGUUUUCAACUUUCACAAUUAGCACCCUUUUUGACAACUCAUUAUAAUAGUUUUUCUCGAUUCUCGACCUCGAGAUUUGAACAGAGAACUCAUGACACUUCCAAACUAUCGGAUUUUUGGGCUUUCUCGGAGGAAUCGAAGAAGACCAGGAUUGUAUGCAAUCUUCUUCAAACCGCAACUAACCGAACUCCUAAUGGUGCUUCUCAAGAUCUUUUUUCCGUAAAUGGUGGUGGUGAGUUCAUAGCAUUUUAGGCUUCUCGGCAAGCCAUUUUUUUCUCCUCCUCCUCAUUUAUUUCUGAUGUGGGUUUAUUACAUCAAUCCCGGUCUUCAUGCUAGCCGAGAUUCCACUAAGAGCCUAACGAAAUUGAUAGCUUGGAUGCGCGAAGAAAAGAAGCUAAAUUUUUAUUCAAAUUUCAAGAUGUCGAGAAGGAUUGAGAAAAACUAUUAUAAAGAAGUAUGAAGUAUCACAAAGGAUGCUAGUCGUGAAAAAUGAGAACCUUUUGGGUUAUUUCUAACAAUUUCCGAGAGUUCUACCAUAAUGGUUCAGACCUGUUUGGCAAGGGCCGUGGCUACCAUGUUUGAAGUAGCGAUACUAAGAAACAUAAACACAUAGCUCGUAUAAUCACAUAAAACUGUCGCAGGGCCUGCCAGUCAAAAGUUACAAACAAAUGAAGUUGAAAAAAAGAAAAUAGAACUCUCCCCACUACCUGAUAUAGAUUAAAGUUGACAUUAACAAUAGUCUUUAGAAUUCCAAAUAAGUAACGAGCUCAACUAAUCAUUGCUGGUUGAGUUUAUUCAACAGAUUGGAAGCAAGAAGUAAGAAGCUAUUGCCUCCUCAAUCCAUUAGCAAAAUUCAUCACAAAGAAGCAAAAGAAAAGGAGAAAAGAAAUAAAAAAAACCUAAAGCAGCAAGCUCAACAGCGCUUCCCUGGCCAAUAACCGCAGUGUCAAUGAGACUCAUCAAAGGUCCACAAAUCCACAAUCCAAUAGCAGGCCCAGUAAACGUAACAAUCUCCUUCAACUGAUUCAACAACCCCUGGUUCCCCAAUUCUUCUCCUUCAAUCCCCAAUACUUGUUCAUCUUUUUGUACUUCAAUGCCAAUUUCUCUCUCAAUCUCAACGCGAAGAACCGGGAAUCGGCGGCGAUUCCGCGACGAGAAAUGGAGAGGUGAAGGGGAGGAAAUGGAAGAGGAAGGAAAAGAAAUGGUGGGGGAGGAGAGAAAUGGACGAGUGAGGGGAAAGGAAGAGGGAGAGAAUGGUUUGAGAAUAUUGGGGCAAUGGAAACGAGGAACGAAUGAAGAAGAAGAAGAGUGGAGGAUUUUGAAAGGCAUUUUUGGCGCCGGAGAAUUGAAAGAAGCGAAGUUUGAGCUUCAAAAUAAUACAGAGGGGAAAUUUAGGGAAGAGUCAUGUGAGGAAGACGAUGAAGGUGAACGUUCAAUGACGUUAUGCCACGUGGAAUAUUCAUGGUCGUUCUUUUUUAUAGAUUUUGUUUGCCUUUUUUAGAGUCAACAUUUUGACUCUUCUUAGGUCUUUUUCCCUUUUUUUUUUUCCUUCUAAAAAGCAAUUAUGUGCAAUUUAUUCUUUGAGAGUAGUAAAAAAUGGGUAAUUUAUCUAACAAAUAGUUUUCUUUUUUGGUUUUUACGUGAGGUGUAAAUAAUUUAUUUUGUCAAGUCAGUUUAGUGCACAAGAUAUCAUGAGUUUAAAUCUCUUAUUCUCGAGUUAAUCUAAUAAGAUCUUUAAAAAAAAUUCUUUUAUUGUUUUUUAAAAUAAAGUCUUUAUUCUUUUUUUGGAAAAACUUCUUUUCAUAGAAACAUCCAUUCAUUUUCUAUUCUUUUAUAAAAAAAUUUGAUCACUUUCACUUUUGCAAUCAAAUUGCUUUUGUUGAUCAUUCAUUAGAGAUCUUGAAAAUGCAAACUCACAUAACUUCUAUUUUUCAUAGUAAUCGUUUAUUUUCUAACUUGCUUCUUAUAUCUAUAAACAACUUGUAUGUUGAAUACGGAAGAUAAAUACAAAAUGGGGUUGAGUUCUUCAACAGAAAUGUGGUGAGUAGACUAUUGUUUUGUUUUGUUUUCUGGUUACAGAUUAUUUGUUUCAUAAGUUCUUUAACAUACAUAUAGUAUAAUUUUCUUAAAAUUUUAAAAGUUCCUUUACAAUAUAAUUUUACGAGAUACUAAAGGCUUCAAAGCGAAUAUAGCCAAAGAUAAAGCUGCUUUUGCUUUCUGUUCUAACUUCAUCCAAGCAUCAGAACCAUCAAAACCUGCUAGUGAAAUCACAUCUUUUUUUUAGUACAAUUGUUUCAAGCUGCCAGCAUAACCUGUUGGUUUCGAUCCAUACCUUUAUCAAACUCGAAUGACGACGACAUCGAGAAGGUAUUGAAUAAUGUCUACUACAAGCUUACUUGAACUGUCACCUAUGCAGCCUUUUGCUUUACCACUUCAUAAUGGCUUACAUCACUAGAGUAAAGCACUCCAUUGGGAGAGAGGACGCGCCGAAGAGCGUUAAAAAACCGAGCCUAUGUAAGAGAAAGUUAUAGUAUGAGGUGAGAAGAACACCUAUUUGCAGUUAAAGAAAGUAGGGAUGUGUUGUUUUUACCCAUUGAAAUCCGACGAGGGCGCACCAGCAGCCUGCCAAACCAUAACCCCUACUGUUUACAAACUGGGAACAAGCCAUGGAGUUAGUUAAUGCACAAAGAGUCCAAAUGAGGUUGGAGAAUGGUUGGGAGAUCAAACAUUACCAGUAAUAGAAGGGCACCAAAAGAAAGGCAUCCACACAUUGAUAAACUAAUAAACUUUAGGUCUCGUCCAGCCUGCAAGAAUCAAACUUCGAGAGUUGAGGAAAGUUUGAUAAUUAGCCUACAAGUGAAUGUAAGGAUGGUCUUUCUCUCGGUAGGGAUGGAAUCUCAUGGGGUAGGGGUGAACCAAACCGACCAAACCAAAUCAAAAAUUCAGUUUUUACCAAAUGGUCAAUUUCAUUUGGUUCGAAUUAUAAGGAAACCAAGAUUUUUGGUUUGGUUCGUCUUUUAUUUGAAAACCGAAUCUAAAACCAAACUAAACCAUUUAUAUUACAUUACAGUAUAUUAUAAAACUGAACUCAACCGAACUGUUUAAAUAUAUUUCAUGGGCAUUUUUAAAAAUAAUAAAAUAUCAACAAUGUCACUAGCAGAAGGAUAUCAGUGUCUACCAAUAUCUAUUAAUGAUCUAUUUUGUCAAAUUCGUUAUUUUUUAUAAUUUUCCUAUAUUUUUAUCAUAUAUACAACCAAAACCAAAUAUUUGUGGUUUGUACAUCCAAGAUCGAAUUUUGUUUGACUACCAAAUCAACAAGCAAGACAAUAAUUCCCCAUUUAGGUGGAAAACAAGGACAAAAUUUUCUCCCAAAAUUUAGAUGGGGUUCUUUAUCCUAGCAAGAGUAAAAAUUUCUCGCCGGAAAUUAAAAGCAUAUUUUUAGAGGAAUUUACUUUAUUUAAUUAAAAUUUUGAAGUACUAAAGAUGGUGGAAUCUUCCCAAUCCCCGCCAUAUUAAACAAAAAAUUUGGCAGAAGCAGAAAAUUAAACGGGGGUCAAAAAGGGACAGAGAUGCAUCAGCGUUCCUGCCUCGCCUCCUGAAUAUCUCCACACGUGAAUAUACAAUUCAAUAGCAAAAAACUUCAGCAAAAUCUAAAAGGUGAGCGAACAUACCAAUAACGUCCCUUCUAAGCAAAGGGUUGCGGGCAUUAUGAGUAGGGCCAAGAAAUAUGGAAUCAACACUUUAUGCAUCUACAAUGCAAGCAUCAUGGAUUAUUAAUCGCUAUGAAAAUGAAGAGAGACGAUGAAAAAGAAUGGAAAGAUAUGGGAACAAUAUUGGUACAUAUUCCAAAUGUUUUAGGGUAUAGAUAUCAUGAACCAACCUCUUGAAUAAUCUUCACUUCAGGUGUAAAGAGAUUAGGGAACAACCAAGGAACUAACGUUCCAAUAGUCCCUAAUACCAAACCAAAAAUACCUCCUAUGAUCAAGAGCGACUUGAGUAGCAUCCGAGCCUACACAAUAUAAAAGGGAUAAAAUAAUGUCCUGGACAAUCUAUAAAAAAAGAGGUUCUAUGGCCAUAAACUCCCCACCAUUUUUUCAACAAGUAUCUAAGAUUUAUUAUGAAUAUCCUAACAAUGUAAGGAAUCAUUUUCAAGUUAAAUGAAAUUGGUGUGACUACUAUUGUAUCGUGUAACCAAACUUUCACAAUAAGAAAAAGGAAAAAAGUAGACAGUAUGUCACUAGAGAUCGGAGUUCUCACCUUAUCCAAACUACGAUUUACUCCAUGUAUGAAUCCAGGCAUGAAUGAUUGGGCAGUUUGAGAAAGAGGCUCACCCAAUACGCUACACAUGUAGAAUGUUUGACUCAUGACCUGAAGUGCACGACGAGCCAUAAUUUGACAUGACCAUUCACUUUCCGUGUAAAAGAAAGAGGCAUACUUGCAUGGAAAGACAAAAAUGAAAAGAACUAUGUAACUUAACCUGAUGAGCAGCCAUGGUGAAUGUGCCUAUAGACGUAGCAUGAUAGAUGAGGAGAGUAUAAAACACUAUCUGAAAGAUUAAAAUCUUAGACACGUUACUCAAAUGAAAACAAAUGAAUGUAAAGGGUUUUAUAAAAUAGAACCUUUGACAUCAGUGUUAUAAAUACAGGAGCAGCAAGUCCAAGUAUUGACAAAAAUUCACUGGGAGAGGGAAUAGAUAGAGAAUAUCCGCUAUAUCCUUUCUUGUUUAGUUGCUCUAUCAUCAUAUAAGCUGCAAUAACCUAGAAACCAUAUAAGAGAAAAAAGAAAGAUCGGUUUUGAGGCGUAAACAAGUACAAAUGCUAUAAAAUUAGGCACAAUAACAUUAACAUAAAGAAGCAUACCUGUGAUGCCAUAGUUGCCCAUGCAGCACCAGCAAUACCAUAUCCUAAAACCAUGCAUAGAAUCACAUCACCCAUGCCAUUUACAAUACUCGCAACUGCCAGCGCUUUCAGAGGUCCCCAGGAAUCUUUCAUGCCAAGACUACAGCAAACAUGAAAUAGAAGUUAAUAAAUUUGGUGAAUUUUCAAGGAACUGGUUUCUGGAAGUUUUCAAAAAUUGCGAUUUGUAUUGUUUCACUUUUGGCAUUCAUGUAUAUUUUGACAAUGUUGUGUAUAUUGUAUUGCAUUUGCCCCAGUUUAGUAUUCUUAAGCUCAAGUUCCUUUUACUCGUACUUAUCCUAUUGUCAUUAGUAAACGCUAAACAAAAUUGGAAGACCUCUUCAUAUACACAAUUCAGAUUCUUGUAUCACCGUAAAAUCAAUUCCGAAAGUAAUUAAACACCUUAUAGAAAUCUGUGCUCCAUUCACAAAUGUAGCUCAUGAAGUAAACUGCAAUUGUGGGGCCUCAAGUCUAAAACAUACAAUGGACAAGCUGUGUGUGCAUGAAAAGAGGACUAAUGUGCAAACGGAUAACUUAAAUUUGGAAGGAUAUCGGGGUUAAAAAAAAAUUCUGUCAAAAUUAAACAAGGAUGAAAGUGCAAGUAAGCAUAUGGGUUCAUAUGCCAACAACAAGCAUAAAACAAACAAAUCAAAUCUAUGGGAAAAAAAUGUAGAUGGCGGCGCAUUGGCAUGGAUCUAGUAAUAGAAUUAAGGACCUUGCACUCUGAGCAACCCAUCCAACGAGAAUUGCAGGCCAUGCCAAACCUCGAAUCUACCAACAAAAAGGAUUCAGUUCAAAUUAAAGUCACCGAACCAAUUAUGAUAAUGGAAGCAUCUGAACAUUUAUACUGUAAACAUCGAAAGAAGAAAUUAAGGAAGCAUGUCGACUUAUCAGUAUGCUGUGGUCACAUUCUUGAUGGAACCUCUGUUUGCCACCUGGAAGUAAUUAUAUACAUUCACUAUCUAUGCAAGAAAUGACAUUUAUCUCACUAGUUCACCACAUCUAUAGGUAAAACAGAGUAUAUAACUCUAUAUAUUAACAGCUUUCGAUAUCCUGACAUAACUUUAUGCAACAAAAUAAUAGUCAUGAUUAUUGUAUUAUGUCCUAAUAGGCUAAACGUUUUAGUCCCUGAUGUUUGGGCUUAUGUUUAAUUAUAUUAAUACUUUUAGGUUUAUUCAAUUUAUUUAUAUCAAUACUUCAAACCUUUUAUAAAAAAAAAUGUUAUCCCUAUUAUUAAAAAGGUUUCAGUUUUAUCAUUAUGUUUUAACACCUUUUAAUUUAGUCCUCACCAUUGGUAAUUUUUAAAAUUAGCACACUAUAAAAUUACAUGUCACCAUACUUAGUAAAUUAAUGAAAAUUAAGAAGAUGAAAGAUGUCAUCUAAAAGAUAAAGUUUCUAAUUCCUCCACCAAGUUAUUUAAGGAAAUUUCAAGUUUUUGUCUAAUCUUAAAUCCUAGAUGGAACAAUUUUAACAAUUACCACAGGUAAGAGAUUUAAAACAUAUAUAUUUGUUUAGCACAAACUUUUUUCAUAACUCGGUAUCAAGAGCCCCUAUCCCCACUAAUACGGGGAAACUGCACCCUAUCAAUGUCAAGACCCAAGAGACAUCAAGGAAUUUUCAUAUUGAGCCCCAAAGUUUGAACACGCAACCUCUGGCUACGUGUUAUUGAAAAACUGCGUGUAUCUAGCUGUUACAUGAUGAAAGAUCUACAUAUAAAUACAUUGUGCCUGUGAAGUGAAUAUAGAUUACUUGGUUAAUGAGUUCUAGGAGGACAAGUCUGUCGGUGUAUCUUUUUUCUUCCUAAUACGUGACGAGCAUUAAAUUCCUUCACAGGCAAUUUUUAUCAAGAAAUGUUCAAAAACAAUUUUUAUACUAUUUUUCUAAAAAGAAAUGGUUACAAUAGUACUGAAGAUGAGGGUAUUUUUAAGUUCAAACAGGUGUUGGUCUGGAGGAACCGGUCUGCUAACUUAUCAGACAUUAUUUUAUCUGUUCUUUCAACAAUUUAACGCUACGUCUUCGAAUUUUUUAGUUGCAAUCACACUGUAAUAAGCAAUCAUCCUCACGUAACAAGAGAAAAAGAAACAAAAAAGAGUCGUAAUGAAAAUCCAAUAUUACGAAUAUAUAACAAGCCUCAGUGAGAGUCAUGUGUUUAAUUCCUAAUAAACUGAACAGGUCGAAAUUUCUAUACUGAAAAUUGAAAGUAGUGUUCUAAGAGAAAGAAAGAGAGGCACAUAAGACAACAAACGUAUCGCAUCUGAAGCUAUACAAGACAAACUUCUAUCAAGACUUUUCAAAUAUCAAUUAAACAAACUUUGUUAAGUUAAAAAAACAAACCUGCAUAUACGUGUUUGCUGCAGGUAUGAUGCCUGGAUUCUUUGUCCCCACGAAAGCUGAAAAUUUACAAUAAUAUCUUGGUAACUCUUGAAUCAUUAGGCUAACUUAAAAACUCAAUCGAUGAAAGUAAAUUUAAUUUUAUAUCAUCUACCCUCUCUUUUAUUUGUGGGUUUGAAAACUUGGGAAGAGGAAGUAAUAUUAUCACAGUUUGAAUGAACACAUAACCUUUUAGACUACCUACUUCGAUACUAUGUUAAAAUCUCGGAUUGUCCCAAAAACUAAAGCUAACGAGCCCAGUUAAAUUUAAUAUUAAUAAUCCUACUUCUAACAUAUGACAAAGUUCUAGCUCUAUACGUGGUGAAGUACUUGAAGGAAUAGUCCAUAAAACUGAUGAAUGUAAUAACUAAUGAGCCCUUCACUUAACUAAGCAAUAAUGUAGAAGUUGAGUACCAGUUAGCGCCAAUGAACCCAAUAGUUUGGUAACUAAGAGCAUCAACAAACCAGACAUCAGCCCAACAAAUAGCAAUACAGAUAUGUGAUGCUGCACUUCGUUCUUAUCCUGCAAUAACCUUUCUAGUCAAGGAAUGCAGCACGGUUAUCCCAUAAUCUGUAACAGAAAUUGGAUUCUGAGUAGAACCUGUUUAGCAAGGGCCGUAGCUACCAUAUUUGAAGUUGCGAUACUAAGAAACAUGAACACAUAGCUCGUAUAAUCACAUAAAACUGUUGCUGGGCCUGCAAGAAAAAAGUUACAAACAGAUGAAGUUCAGAAAAUUAAUAAUAACAGUCUCCACCAAUUAAGUAUCACAGUUUGAUUACCAUAAUUCGGAUAAGAAAAAUCGGAAAAAAUGGAAUCUAACAUCGUUUUCAGAUUUCGAAACUGAAGAUUGUUAAUAGUCGGAUUCAAGUAUUCGAUCCAGUAGAUUAGAAGUAAGAACCCACUGUUUAAUCGACCCAUUUGAAAAAUUCAAGUCAAAGCUUCCAAUCGAUUUACUUCAUACUCUUAAGAACGACCAUAAAGAAGCAGAAGUAAAAUAAAUUCACAAUAAUACCCAAAGCAGCAAGCUCAACGGCGCUCCCUUGGCCUAUAACCGCAGUGUCAAUGAGACUCAUCAUUGGUCCACAAAUCCACAACCCAAUAGCAGGUCCAGUAAACGUUACAAUCUCCUUCAUCUGAUUUACCAACCCUUGGCUCUCCAAAUCUUUAAUUCCAGUCGCCAAUAACUGCUCAUUUCCCUGUACUCCAUUGUCGGUUUCGCUCGCACUCUCCGCGCUGCUGACUUCCCGCGCGUGAUCAUCGUGAGGAAGCGCGAAACAGCGGGUAAUCGGCGACGAUACAUUGAGGGGUAAAGGGGGGGAAGGGGAAGGAAAGGGGAGGGUGGGGGUGAAGGAGAAGGAGAAGGAAGGGCGAGAGUGAGAGAGAGGAUUGGGGAAUUUGGGGAUAUGGGUUUGAGGAAUGAUUGAAGAAGGUGAAGGGGAAUGGAGGAAUUUGAAAGGCAUUUUUGGCGGGUGAAAACUGAAGGGAAGGAGAGAGAGUGAAAGAUCCGCCAUGGGAGUGUAGUGAGUAAGAAGUGAAGAAGGAAGAAGAUGGAAUAUUCAAAGAGGUGAAGACACGUGCAUGAUUUUUGGUCGAACGUUUCUUAAGAUUAUCAAUUUUGUAUUAAAUAAAAACAUUGUUGGAUCCAAAGUAUCUCUUCCAAAAUAAAUACUAAAAUUCUAACUCAACUAAAAUUAUUAGUAAUUAUUAUGAGUGAAACAUCCAUCCAUUCCCCAUCCAAAAAAAACAAAUAGGUGUAAAUUUAGUAAUUAGAUUUAAAAUAAUUAAGUAUAUAGCAACAUUUUAAAAAAUUUAUAAAUAUAGUAAAAUUUGUCAAACUCUAUCAACGAUAGAAAUCUAUCACCGAUAGAUCAUGUUGUAAAUAUUGGUUUAUCAAUACGAGUCUAUAGCGAUAAUUUUGUUAUAUUUAAUUUUUUUUUUCAAAUGUUGUUAUAUCAUUCAUUAUUAUUCCUAAAAUGAUCAUCAAUUAUAAUUAUUUUUUAUUAUUAUUGUUUGUGCAUAGUAGCUAGAUGAAUGAAAACAAAAAUUAGAUUGAUGAAGUAUUAGUAUAAACUUUUUUUAAAAGUAAGUGUAUUGACUUUUUUUUUAAAUCAAUUAUUGUCUCCAAAAUUGCUAAUCAUUAUAGUUACUAUAACAUUAGAUCAAUUGUUCUUAUCGAUUGACUCAAUAACUUAAGUUAGUGAGUAAAGAUAAAUUUAAUUAUAUAUCACUAACUACCAUUUUAACUAGUUCUAUGACAUGGAUGGUAUGUUUAUAUAUUAGUCUCACUGAUCUUUUGUUUUGUUUGGAGUUGUGUAAAUAUAAGGUUCGAUCUUGUGGAGACCAAUUUUACUCUUAUAGAUAUGUUAAUGAGUACUGAUACGAUGCUACAAAAAUAAUACUUAUAUGUGUGUAAUAUGCUACUUAAAUGAGAGCUUGUACUCUUUGGCUAAUUAAAAUUCAUCCCAAUUUUGUUAGGAACAUUUGUCACUACCUUUGGUAACCUAUAUUUAUGUUUAGGUGAAAUAAGUGAAUAUAAGAAUGUAAUUCCCUAAAUGUAUGGUUGUUGAUAAGAUUGUCGAUAGUCGUUUACUUGGUAGUGGCGGGGUAUGUGAACCGAUUAAGUCCCCAACUACCACGGUGAAAUAGAGGGAAGGAUUUGGAAUGAGAUGAAUUUUUGAUAUUUUAUCAUGAUGUCUACUUUGAAUUUUCAAUAUUCUACCCGAUUUCGUUAAGUUGGAAUAAUUGUUUUGUGUUCGGAUUUUUUUAAGUGUUUAGUUUAGAAACUAAGAUAUUAAAAAAAAACCUAAAAUAUUUGAAAGUCCUUUAAAAUGUGUAUUUUAAACAAUUUUUUAAGAAAAAGAGUUUAAACAAAAAAAAUGAAUUUGUUGAAAAACAUUUUUUUUCUUUAAGUGAAUCCAAACGUACCCUAAAAGUAAUGCAAUAGUUUGUGUGUUGUUUUCUUCUAUGUACAUGUUGACAAUCACUGUUAGAUUUAAUUUCUUCUCGUUUGAACUAUUAGAAUUUUUAGUUUUUGACAUUUUUUAUUGUUUUUUUUUUUUUUAAAUUUUGUAGUGGCAUAAGGAAUACAACUAUUUGAACCCAAUUUAACUUGACGUUGUUGUAUUUUGGUUUAGGUUGUGGAACCCAAGUUUGUAUUUGAAGCCAAGUUCAUCUAAGGUUAUUAAUUAAGUUUGUGUUUCUUGAACUAAAAUUGUAGUCUUGUGAUUUUUGGAAUAACAUAGUUGAAUUUAUUUUGUAAUUUUUGAAUUAUUAUAUUAAGUUAUGGUUGAUGGAAGUAAUGUUUUGUAUAUAUGACAAUAACAAACAAAUAUGUAAAAUUUUCAAAAUGUUCGUGUGUGUAUAUAUGUGUGUGUGGUUAAAUAUUAAUAUAUGUUGAAGUUUUUGAAUUAUUCUGAUGCAUAUUUAUGAGAUUGUUAGACCACACGACAAGGAUUACAUGGGUAAUACACGAACAAAAACUGCAAUUGAAUUAAAAUUUUAAAAAAUUGAAAAAAAAUCUGAAAGAGAGUUGACAUUUUUCAAAUGUCAUAAACAAGUAUAUUAUAUGAUGUUUUUUAAAUGUCAUUAACAUUAACAUACUUGACGCUUAUUAAUUGUCAUUAACUUCGACUUUCUUGAUGCUGACUUCAAUGAUGGUUUUAAAACGUAAAGUAGGAGUAUUCAUAAAAUAUUUGAAAUUUGAAAUGCCGAAUCGAAACCGAAUCAAAACCGAUUAAAUGUGGUUUUGUGCUGUUUGUGUUAUGUUGAAACCGUUUCUUAUGCGGUUCGGUACGAUUUAAUGUUUUAAACCAAGUCUAAAACUGAACUGAACCGCUUCAUUUAAAAAAAAAAAUUAAAGAAAUGUUCAUAAAAUUUUUGUUUAUAAAACUCGGUUAAAUAUGUUGACCUGAGAUUCACUGGAAUCUAAAAUAGAAAGAGAUUAUCCGAAAUUUAAAACAGAAAUACAAAUUUUAUCGAACUCGAUGCUUUGAUAGCUUGAGAUUCUUUGGGACUUAGUGCUUUGGUGGCUCGAGAAUGUCCGAAAUUUGAAACAAAAAGACAAAUGUUAUCGAACUUGGUGUUUUGAUGGCUCGAGAUUAUUCGAAAUUUAAAAAAUGUUUUGGUGGCCUGAGAUUCUUUGGAAUUUAAAUCAAACUACAUAUUACAGUUCGAUUUUACUUCAGUUUGACACAAACGUGUAGUUUUAUUUGGUUUCGUAUGAGUUUUUUUUUUUUUUUUUUUUUUUGCAUUUUACGGUUUGAUGCAAUUUCAACUGAAAAAAGUAAUAAUUCUUUAUUGUUAAAAAACAUUAACAUAGUUUACUUUUGUAUUAGUGACUUUUAUCUGAUUUUGCAAUAACAUAUCAACGGAACAAAAUCCUAGUAAGAAUUAACUACAACAAAAUGGGAUUCUGAUAACACAUGAGUGAAGCGAAACCAAGAGAAUAAAUAAAUAAACAUCACAUAAUCCUUUUUUUAAAAAAUAUAUAUAUAUAUAAUUAAUUAAAGCGUGUAAUGAAAGAAUCAAACUUCAGAUUGAUAAUACAAACAUAAUGUCAGUUGAGCUAAGCUCAUGUUGACACACAAACCAAAUUUGUUGAGUUUUUUAGACAAAAUAUGACCAAUCACUAUAAAUAUCAAUAAUAGAUACAUGUAACUACUAUUGAGAUAGACUUAAAUAUGAUAUAUCAAUUAUGAAUAUACUAUUUAUAAACAUUCAAAAAAAGAGGAAGCAAAUCAUGAAUCAUGAGAAAUAGGUAGCUAAUAGAUAAAAACAACAUAUUAACAAUGGUAUAUAUUGAAAACUUACAUUAAAAAGUGCUCAAUUAUCAUAAUGUACACAAAAAAAGAAUAGUUGAUGAGUGAAGGACAUCUAUAUAUAUUAGUAAUAUAUUUGUAAAAAUUGACUAUUGAGAAACACUACAUGAUUUAUGUAUUAGUGAUGAUAUAAAAUAUUCAAAAUUUGUUAAUACUUUCAAAUCAUUUAAUUGUGUUAAUUAAAUUCCAUCUAAUGGUUUGUGUUAUUAUAAUUAGUUUAUUUCUAUUUUUCUACGACACUAUUUUGGAUGAAUCAAAUUUCUAACUAUAAAGUUGAUAUAAUACACAUUUUUAUGUCAAUAAUACUAUACUCUGUUUAAAUCGGUUAAAAUUAAUUCUAUUCACUAUUUUCUUUGUCAUGUGUAGAGAUGUAUGUGAUUUAAUAAUUAAAACAAUUGUACCUUCAAAAUUCUCUUUCAUAAAAAAUAAUGAAUUAUUUUUUUAACAUGUAAUUAUCAAAUAGUUAAAAAGAAUUGUAUGAGAUUUUUAGAAUAAAAUAAUAUAAUAUUAUAUAAGCUCGUAACUAACUCAACUUAACUUUUUAAGGAAUGUGAUACGUUUUAAGGUUAUUUUCAAAUAUAGUAAAAUAAACUAAAAUAUUUUGAAAAUAUAGCAAAAUAUCAUCAUUUAUUUACGAUCGACUACUAUUUAUGUCUACUUGUACGAUAUAAACACAAAUAACAGUCAAUCUAUUUCGAUCUAUCAUAUUUAUCAAUCACAUAUCAAUUGUGAUAUUUUUACUAUAUCUAUAAAAUAAUUUUAAAUUGUCGUCUAAAAUAAUUUUAUAUAUUUGUAUUGUAAUACUAUUUCUUUCCACAACCAUAAAUAGAGAUUCAAACUACAAAGACCUAUCCAAAAUUAGGGAAGUGAUUAUAAUAAAGCCAUGGGUGAAAUGCCCUAAGAAUUGUUAUUAUUAUUAUUAUUAUUAUUAUUAUUAUUUGCAAGUUCCCAUUGAAUUCAUCAAAUUAAUUAAUUUAAUCAAACUCCAAAUUUGGUCUAUUGACUAAAUAUUAUAAUUUAUUGAAUACCCCUAGAAAGCAGAUACCUUUCUUUAUUAUAUGAGAUGAUUUGAGUACGUACCUCUAUUUAUUUAUUUAUUUAUUUAUAUAUAUAUAUAUAUAUUUGUGAAGAAUAAUAUUUGGUCUAUUGGCUAAAUAUUAUAAUUUAAGUUUAGCGUUGGCUACCUUCCUCUCAUGUAACAUAUCAUAUUUAUUAUUCUAAAUAGAUAAAAUAACUACUUGAUUUUAAAUAAUUUUUUUUAAAUCUCAUGACUUGUUUUUAUGUGGACUAAGUGGUGAUCGGUAGCGUUUGUUUUGUCUCGCUACCUCCAAGUAUUUUCCUAGUCGAGUUGUUAUUAUGAUCUCUCCAUUUUUUGUCUAUAUAUUUAUAAUAAAUUAUAAACUUAAACUGUAAUAGAUUGACCUAAUGGUAAUAAAAACAUUUUAAAAAAAAAGUCAAAAGUGUUAAGAAUUAUUUGUUCAAACGUAUCUAAGAUUUAGUUGGACGAACGGUCUUGUAUGAUUAGUCCAAGGUACAAAAUUGUAAACUUCAACCUCCACUACAAAUUUAUUGUGAAUUUUUUCAAAUUCUUAUUAUAAUCUAUUAGUAUUUUACUAUAUAUUCAAAUCCUAACUAUUUUCUAUAAAAAUUACUAUUGUUAUUUAAGCUAGAGCUAUUUUCAACCUACCUCGAGAGCUAUUUAAUUAAAUUUUCUAAUAAAUAUGGUUAGAGCUAUUUAAUUAAAUUUUCUAAUAAAUAUGGUUUAAAAUCCACUCUAAAUAGUAGAGUAGAUAAAUAUUUACGUGUAAUAGCAAAAUGAAGCUUAAGUUUUUUUUUGUUGUUUAGUGAACUUUUGUUAUCAAUUGUAAUAAUUUAUUUUUUUAAUAUAUAAUUCUUAAGAAGAACCAUCCAAAUAAUAUUUUUAAAUUAAAUUAUUGAAAAUGUAUUAAAAUAAAGAGAGUUUACACAAAUAGCAAAAAAAAAAUUAUGAUAAUAAAGUUUAUAUCAUUUAUAUUUUCAAAAUUACAAUAAUAGUAAAAUUUAAAAGUAAAUUAUCGUCUUUUUAUUCUCAUAUUUAUCAAAUUUCGAAUAUAUGAAGUGAGAUGUCACCAAUUAUUUAAAAAAAAAAGGAAUUAUUAUUUUUAUUAUCUCAGGCAAUUUCCCUUCGAAUAAAAGAAAUUGAAAAUGGAGGUAGAACUUAGAAGAACGUAUAAGGAUGGCCAGCCCACGUUUGGACAACGUGAAGUGAACAUGUUUUUCCAUUUUUCUUUUUGUACUAAUAAACCUUUUCUUUUAUAUAUAUACAUAAUUAUAAUAAGAAUACAAGGUUGUUCUAAUGUUUAAAUUAUAAAAAAGUUUGGUGGGCAAAUUAUUUUAUUUUAUUGGACUCAAACAAGUUAUUUUAGUAUAUUUUACAGAAAAUAUAUUUAAUGUCAAAUGAUUAAAUUUUUAAGAUAUUCUAUAUACAUACAUAUACAUACAUACAUAUAUAUAUAUAUGUAUAUAUAUUUGAAAGUGUUUCGAAAACUUACUUAAAAGUGUCACUUAAUGAUAUAUUAGAUAUUAAAAUAAUUAGCUUAGCUUAGUUUGUAUUUAUCAUGUUAUUUAUCUCUAAAAUUAAAGAUUUGAAUUUGUUUACUUAUUAAAGAUCAUAAAUUAUGUACAGUAUACACAUUCAUAAUUUUGUAAAAAUUGCAAAAAGCAAUUAUAAUUAAACAAAUAUUUUAUCACACUCAUAGUUGAAUAGACGUAUGAAUUCGAUAUGUGAUCACUCUCACUACGAGUAGUUGCUUUAAUUUAAGUUAACAUCAAUUACAUUUAAUUAUUGUUCUACUUGGUUUAAAACUUUAGAUAUCUUUUACUCUACGAAUUUUGACCCUUAUUCCAAUCGAUCGAUAUUUUAUAAGAAAUAAUAUUUUGACCCUUUCAAAGUUGAAUAUUUACCACCUACCAUGCUAUUAUAUUUCAAUUCCAAGCUGUGAGUUAAAAAUAAAAAAUAAAAAAUCAAGCUGUGAGAGAAGAAAUAUAUUGUUAUAUAUAUGUUGAAAUAAUUGAUUGUGUUACACAUGAUCAUAUUAAAUUUGUUUGUUUAUUAACUAAAGAGGUUGGCUAUGCAUUUAUUAUAUGCCAGAAUAAUAGUUAUUGAAGAAUAGUUAAAUUGAGUCAUUUGCUUGCUGCCUUACCUACCUAUCUGUUUGAUGUUACAUUUCAAAAUUGGUUAUUAAUAUGUAAUUAAUCAAAACAAAGUUACUAAACUUGUUAUUUCAAAUAUAAUUCAGAACAAAUGCUCAAAGUUUCAAAAUCAAAUAUGAUUUGAUGUUAACACGUGGUCGAACAUGUUGAUUUCUAUCGCCUAAUUUCGAACCAAAUAUUUUAUUAGCGAACUACUACAAGAGCUAGUCUUAAUAGCAAGACUGGGUCGAACACAUCAAGUGCAUUAAAAUUUUCAUGAAAAUAAUUUUUAUCGAGAGGAUAAACUAUGAAAAUUUUUAAUGGUUUGUUACAAAUAAUUGAAAAUUACGUGAAAUUAAAUUAAUCAAACAAUCAAUGUGAGAAAGCCUAACUUUAGUUAUCAAGGUCGUAGGUCACAAUCAAAAAACAUGAAGAGCUAAACUUGUGAACAAUUAAUAGUACAUCGUUUAUAUUUUGAACUAGUAUGAAAAAUCUACAUUAUAAAAUUAAUAUCAUGAUGCAGAUGUGUACUCGACUAUUUGUUUUUGACUUCAUUCUAAUACAUUUUUCAGUUGGUCACGGGCGAGAAUACAAUGAAAAUCUCUUUCGAUAUGUUUUGCAUGUGUUUUUGUUUAAAUAACGGGCAAACUUUUGUCCAAGAUCAAUCGAGAUUUUAAAUUAAGCAAUUAUGUCCUAAAACUCUAUCUAACUCAAGGUAACUUUAGCGUGAGAUUUAAUAACCUAAAGCCUUUUGUUUUUCAUCCUAGGGAUCUCGAGGCAACUUUGGCUCGAGUUUAAUAACCAAAAGCCUUAUGUUUCUCAUUUUGGAGGAUCUCAGGACAACUUUAGCUUGAGAUUUAAUAACUAAAGUCUUCUAUUUACUCAUCCCGAGGGAUCUCAUAGCAACUUGAGGGAUUUCAGGGCAACUUUGACCAGAGAUUUAAUAAUAAUAAGCCUUUUGUUUUUCAUCUUUAGAGAUCUUGAGACAACUUUGGCUUAAUAUUUAAUAACCUAGCCUUUUGAUUUUCAUCCUAGGGGAUCUUGAAGCAACUUUGGCCCAAGAUUUACUAACCUAACACCUUUGUUUUGGCUGACUUGUUUCUUUAUUCUAUGACUUGUUUCUUUAUUCGAUUCAUUGUGUUUGGUAUUAAUAUUAUAUAUAUCCAACUUUCUCGUUAGUUACAUUUGUUCAAUCUUCUUCUAAUCGACAUUUAAUAAACAAGCUUUUGUGAAUCUCCUUCUAAUUGAAUAAAUGUUUUUAGAUUACAAGAAGGCUCUAUUAGCUCAUAGUUAUACGGUUAAUUGUCUACGAAACAAGAGAAUGUAAUUUGGGAAUAGGGUUCAAAAGAAGAGCGGGUUACAUCAUAUUCGAAAUGUUUACAACAAUAAAUCCCAUAAUCACCUGAACCAUGUAGCUGAUGAAGUCCUCCAAAUCGUCUAUGGGACCUAAUUAUAUGGUUCACUCCAUGUGUUGCCUCCUCUCUCUCCCAUCAUCGCCAGUUCCAUGAAAUAAAUAGAGAUAUCUUUGUUUCAUCCUCGUCACUCUCAAACUAAAUAUUCAGAUAAUCUUUAUCCAACUUAGCACCGUUAAUAUUCAUCCUAUCGCCCAAAUAUAAUCGUCGCAGUCUAAGAGCUUUAUUCUUUUCAAAUUCAACCGCACAUCUUAGCCCAUACCUCAACCCCAUGAUAAUGUCAAAAUCUUUCCGCCCAAAGGAGACCUCACCUAAUAAUUUAAAGCUAAUAAUGUCCUCUCAUUCAUCCUUAACCUCUCUCAGCAAGAUGUAAAGGCACAUAGGUCCAUUGAAAACCAACUUAACGUCCAAUAAAUGUCCAAACAUGGUUUUUCUAAACAUAUACAUUGCUUAGGCAUUAACUUGUUUUCAAUAUUCGAGACUAUUUUCACUAAGUAUAAACAACAGAUUAAGUUUGCAAGAAAAAUGUAUGCAUUGACGAUUUUGGUGACAAGAGGCAUAUGCUAAACAUAAAACAUACAUAUCAAAAUAAAACUAGUAAUCUGUCAUAAAACUUAGGGCACUCUAGGGUCAAUUUCAACCGAGGAAUUUAACAAUGAAACUUGGGCAACAUUGCAUCAAGAUGCCACGAGAUUAUGGUUUUACUUACAUUUUGUGAUGUAUCUUGGGUUAAUCUCUACCGAAAUCUACACUGAUAACCUCACAUAAUGCAAAUGAAAUGCAACAAAUCUCAGGACUCAUUCAACAAAUCUUCGAACAAUUUCAUCAAUCUUGGCCGAGAUUCAUCAUCUAUACAUGCCUAAAUUGAUGAAAUUGUUGAAAUUAAUCGAAUAAAACCACCUGGAUUAACUUAAUACUAUAUAAAAGAAGAAAAAAAACUCCAAUAGCCAAAGUUAAUUACCUCUACAUAUUUAAGCUUGACAUAUACUUGAGGAUACACUUUGUAAGAUUUUGUCAAGUAAAAAUCAGUCAAACUUGAGAGCAAAAUAUUCAAACCCAACCAAAAUGAGAAGCUUAUUUGGGGAAAGUGAAUAUCAAACGUAAAAAAAAACGAGAGUAUUUUGAUAAUUAGAAUAAGACAUGAAAUCUUUGGGGCUAUCUCGACCAAGAUUGCUCGUAAAUACAAAAUGGAAAGUUUUUAAAAAUGUUGCUUUUAAAAUAUAAAACUUAAACGGUGUCAUUUUGUUAUUUUUGAUGAACCCUACUGUAUAUAAAGGUAGAAAACGGUCAAUUGUUACGUCCAAUUUCACUAAAAUAAAUUAAAAGUAAAUCAAAAUGAAACAGCCAAAGGAAGAAGACGACUGGAAGGUGAUUGUCAUCUGAACUUGAGGCCUAAAAAAUUUGUGUGUAAUUCUUGAAAAAGCCCGUUUGUCAAUUUGUAUAAUUCACCAUUGAUCCACCAGUUGAGGUCUCUCUCUCUCUCUCUCUUCAACUUCCUCAUUCAUUUCUGUCUUAAGAAACAAACCCACGUCUUUCACGUUUCUUUCUUAUCAAUCUCUGAUUAUAUUACACCAUCCUCAACGAUUUUUUAGAUUUUGAUUUUGCAUAGCACCUAAAAACUCUUCUUUCAAACUUCACUCCUUGUUUGUUUUCCUUAUAUCUGAAAACAACCCUUCAUUCAUUUUGUAGUCAUCUGGGUUUGAAUCAUUCUCUUCUUUUUGCUUUCUAGUGUGAAUUUCUCAUCAUCAAUUGAAGAAUAGGAAAUCCCAUUUGAGGAAUUGGGCAUUUGUUGUGGGAGUUGACCAGUCAGAGAUCUGAAGCUCUGUGGAUUUGGGAGCGAGAAAUGGGGAGCUUGGGGGCGAUUUUGAAACACCCAGAUGACUUUUAUCCACUUUUGAAACUGAAAAUAGCCGCUAGACAUGCGGAGAAGCAGAUCCCACCUGAGCCUCAUUGGGGAUUCUGCUAUACCAUGCUGCAUAAGGUCUCAAGAAGUUUUGCACUCGUUAUUCAGCAGCUUAAGCCCGAGCUUCGCAAUGCUGUAAGUUGAGCAUCAAGUGUUACACGUCUUUUUUUUUUUUUUUUUUUUUUUUCUUAUUAUUCUUAAUAUUGAUAAGUUGGUGUUUCUUUAGUUGAUUGAAUCAGGUUAAUUUUCUGGGUUUAUGGUGCUGACGAUGAAAUCUAUUUAUCAGCUCUGUUGGAUUUUUUCUUUUUCAGCAGUUUGGAGGAUUGAUCGUUUUUUGCAACGUUGUUAGUGAAGAAAAAUAUUGAUAGCCGUAGAAUCUGAUGCUUUUUACCUUUUUUACUGAAGAAUACACAAUUUAUAGCUCCAAUAUCACCAUCACAAUUCUGUUGGAAAGUAAAAUAAUGGAUUCGGGAUUAUCAAAAAUCAACUCGAUUUUGUAAAUGAUACCUUAUGAUUUUAAACACUGUUAUGGCUCGAAAUCUGCAAAUCAUAAUAUUAUAUCUCAAUUAAUUUUCAUGAAACUAGUACCUAUACAAUCGUAGAAGCUACCAAGGUUAAUUCCAUUGAAGUUACCACUACCACCUUUAAUGGGAUUGUAGUGUUUCUUGAUUUACUAAUUCACAGCAAUGUUUGAAUCUAUUCGGGAAGUAGGCAAACUAAAUGAAUUUCAUCUGUAGUUUCCUUAACCAUUUAUCCAUUGACUUUUAAAUGAUGCAGAAGAACACACACACAUAUAUAUUUGGACAAUUCAGCUUUUCUCACAAAAUUGCCAACUAUAUGAACUCAUAUUUGUACCAACCAGGUGGUUCCACUAUUUUUAUGAAUAGCAUCUACUGGGCAAUUUAUUCAUGUUUACAAAUCUUUCAUCACUUUGAAUUCUUUCCAGUUUCAUUUCCUCAUACCAUAACACACUUGCAAUUAUGCCAAUAUUUCUUUUCUUCAAAGCUAUGCUGGGUAUUAUUUGUUUAUUUUUGGACAUGUCAUUCACUGUCUUUACUGCAUUGGAUUGUAGUACAAGUAAUAGCUCUUACUACACAAUCUCAGUGUUUGUUUGUCCAGUUAUCAUUGAAGUGUAUGUAUUUGUUAGUCCAUCAUAAUAAUUGUUAGCUUAUAAUUUUUGUUUAUUUCAGGUGUGCAUAUUUUAUCUUGUUCUGCGAGCCCUCGACACUGUUGGUAUGAAUGACCUCUUUACUUCUUCUUGUAUGUGAGAUCCUGAUGUAUGCAUGUUAGCCUUGAGUUCAAGAAAUUUAAUGGUUUUUCUCCAAUAUUAAUUAACGUAGGUUGAAUAUAAUAACUAUGUUGCCAUUUUAGUGGCUUUAUACUGUGUUAUGAAGAACAUGUAGAAUUUCCUGUUUGUUUCAUUUUGAUGUGGAUUAGCCUAAUGGUCUUAUUAUCAUUGAUAUUUUUCGAUUGACAGCAUUUGCUUCUAUCCUUAGGCUUCAUGUUGUACCUUUCAUUUUACUCCUCUCGGGUUUCUGAAAGAAUUCCCCUCUGCCCUCCAGAUAGAUGUUUUGAAACUGAUCUAACAUUAAUAUUUUCUUUACAGAGGAUGAUACAAGCAUACAAACAGACAUUAAAGUGCCCAUUCUGAAAGCUUUUCACUGUCACAUAUAUAACCGUGAUUGGCACUUUUCAUGUAAGUUUUGUACUUAUAAUUCUGUCCUCUCUUUAGAAUAAAAAACAAAUUAAUAAAAUAAAGUUCUGUGCUUAUGAGUAGGAUGUUUUAAGAGUGAUUUUUAUUUAGGUUCUCCUCUUCUUCUACUGAAUGUGUGCUUGUUUCUAUAUUUAGGUGGCACAAAGGACUAUAAAGUUCUGAUGGAUGAGUUUCAUCACGUUUCAACUGCGUUUCUAGAACUUGGGAAAGGGUUGUUACUGGAACCUACUGAUUCCUAUCUGAUGCUUUUUGACAAAGACAGUAAUUAAUUGUUGAUCAAUGUCUAUACCAAUGUUUUCUCCCCCCACAUCUUUUCUGGCUUGGGGACUUUUUUAAAGAUCUAACUACAACUAAUGGUUCUGGGAUGGUGGUACAUAAAUGACGAUGCUUUUUCUGAAUUUAAUUCACUUCAUCACUGCAAUUAUUUCUGCUUUCUUAUUUUCUUUCUUAAAAGAAUACAUAAAAUUAUUCAUUUUGGUAUCAAAUAAAAGGUCUUCAACUUGUUGAAGUUCUUAAAAUGGAACAUCUCAUUAAAAAUUCUUGUGUUUAACUCACUAUGUUCAAUUGCUUCUGCAGGUACCAGGAAGCGAUUGAGGAUAUCACAAAAAGAAUGGGUGCAGGAAUGGCUAAAUUCAUUUGCAAAGAGGUACAAAAUGAGUCUGUCAUCCAUAUUUUAUAUUGGCCUUUAGAUUCACAUUCUAUUUACUUUUGACGCAAUAUAUUCCUUUCGUAUGUUGAUUCUUUAUUUGCAUUGCAUUUUGUGCCAUUUUUUUAGCACUAGUCUAUCGAUAAGACCUGCUUAGGGGCCGCUAAAAUUAAUGCUCUUAAACUAUUUCCUGUUAAUUUAUCGAAAUGUCAAUAAUACGCAUUUUCUUUUUCUUUCCUACCUAAUAAAGUAAUAAAUUAGUUAUAAGGAACAUAGCUGAAGUAAUGUAUUGACUCGUGAAGAGACUGAAAUAUUUCUUCUCUUCUUGUAGGUAGAGACGGUUGAUGAUUAUGAUGAAUAUUGCCACUACGUAGCGGGACUUGUCGGACUAGGUUUAUCUAAGCUGUUCCAUGCUGCGGAGUUGGAGGAUUUGGCACCUGAUUCUCUUUCAAAUUCUAUGGGAUUGUUUCUCCAGGUUAACUACUAUAACUUAAGUGAUCAUCGUUCUUUCAAAUAGUUCAUUAACUUGUUAAAGUUUGACUCUGACAUGUUCGUUUUUUAACUAUUUAAUGCAGAAAACCAACAUUAUCCGAGAUUACUUGGAGGACAUUAAUGAGAUUCCAAAGUCCCGGAUGUUUUGGCCUCGUGAGAUUUGGGGCAAAUAUGCUGAUAAAUUAGAGGUGUAUAAGUCUAUAUCCCUUUUGCCUUUUGCUUUGGACAAUCUAAAUCUUAUACUAUCUUUUAAUCUGAUUUGAUUGUUUCGUCUCUGUGCUGUACAGGAUUUUAAAUAUGAGGAGAAUUCAGUCAAGGCCGUGCAAUGCCUCAAUGAUUUGGUCACUAAUGCUUUGAACCAUGUGGAGGAUUGUCUGAAAUACAUGUCCAACUUAAGAGAUCUUUCCAUAUUUCGGUUUUGUGCUAUUCCUCAGGUAUGAAAAAAUUUCUCUCCAUGUAGGAUAAGUCAUACGCAAGUGUUUCCCCUUUGUGCUCAUGCAUUUGUACCGUCAGACUUGCAAACUUAUACGGACCUAAUGGCGUGGUUCGCCCCUUGACCUUCUUCUAAUAACUUUUGAAGCAAGAAUCAACUUUUCCAAGCAUGCUUAUAUGAAAUGAUGAUUUCAAUUCCGUUAAUAAUUGUAUAUACCAGAGAAAAGAAACCACCAACACUUUUUAAUUAUACAAGUUCAUUGUAUGUACAUAUUUCUUCCUGCUUCAUAUUGAAGCAAUGGUCCAUUAUUGCACAAUUAAGUACAAAAUUUGAACCAAAUAAAUGCUGCUGUACAUUUCUUUCAUGCCAAGAACAGUAUUUUAACAUUUAUAUAGCAGUAAUUAUCUAGUUUGGUAUCUUCUUGAUAGAUUAUGGCAAUUGGAACUCUAGCAUUAUGCUACAAUAACGUAGAAGUCUUCAGAGGGGUGGUUAAAAUGCGCCGGGGUAAGAUUUUCAUUUACGGUUCCCUUUUUAUUUUUUAACAAAUAAUCUGUAAAAAAAAUCCCCAAAAGGGUGCACCCAUUGGGAGAGAAGUUAAAGAGAAAUCUAUCCUUUUAGGAACUACUCCUAGUUUGAAUUUUUAUGGCUUUUGUUCUGCAGGUCUUACUGCAAAGGUCAUUGAUCGAACGAAAACAAUGGCUGACGUCUAUGGAGCUUUCUUUGAUUUUUCUGUUAUGCUGAAGGCUAAGGUAGAAAUGUUCCUGUCAGACUCGGCGAUUGCUCUGUUAUCGCAUGUUGCUUUUCUGCAUAAAUAUCAGAGGUUAUCACAUCAUCAUCUAAAGUUGUUUUAGAAAACUAACAUCCAUGGGUUCUACAGGUCAACAGCAAUGAUCCUAAUGCUUCUAAAACCCUGAGCAGAAUCGAGGCAAUACAGAAAACCUGCAAGCAGUCGGGAAUCUUGAACAGGAGGUUUGUAUUGUCCGUCCUCAUCACUUAAUAUUCCCCUAUCUUUCAACCUUGAAUUCCUCUGCGCCCGCCCUCUGAAAAUCUGUUGUCUGUGUUUAUUUGUUCGCCAGGAAAUUGUAUGUAGUCAGAAGUGAGCCAAUGUUCAAUCCAGCUGUGGUGAGUUUCUAUUACCCAAAUCGAUUCAAAACGAAAUCAUUACAACGUAAGAAUAUCUGAUGAUAUUUCUGUUGUUCCUGUCCAGAUUGUUAUACUUUUCAGCCUAUUAUGCAUCAUUCUUGCUUAUCUCUCUGCCAAGCGAUUACCAGCCAACCAAUCUGUAUGAGCGUCAAACUCUAGUAAGGUUAGGUUCGUACCGACGGGAUCAAAGGAAAACAAUCAAACACUGUCUAGUCAUUCAUGCUUCUAACUUUGUUCUCUUGGAAUGCAGUAUAUGAAUUCCAACAGAACACACCGCAAAUGUGCACGUUAUGGUUAAGUUUCUGGCUCCAUUAUCUUUCUUAGAGCUUUGUUUAAGUAUUACAAUGGGUGAUAGUUACUGUUUGUUUAGUACAGAGCAGGAAACAAGUGAAAUCCUGUAACCUUCUAAUGGUUGUAGUGAGAAAUACAUGAAAAUAAGCUUGUUAUAUUCAUCUUUUUUCAAUCUUAUAAUAAGGAAUUAAGUCUUUGAUUUAAAAUCUCUUCAUAACAGUAAGUUGCAAUUAACAUAUGUUAUUCAUCUACUUCUGAUCUGUUUCUUGCUGAUUGUUUAUUUGCUUCUUUUUUUUUUUCUUUUUGUUUUUUGUUGUUACUUUUGAUUUGGGGGUAAAGCUUUUUCUUUUAGAUUGUGAACUCCCUAAUACCAAUUUAGUGCACAUCAAAUUAUAUUUUUUUUUAUGCCAUUUGAAACCUUACCAAUACAAAGGAGAAUCUGUUGGAUCAACAGAAAUGUUGGAAUCUCAAAUAUAACAAAAUGAAUCAAAAUAUUUAUAAAUAUAGAAUAAUGUCGGUUUUUCGAUGGUAGACAUCGGUAGAAUUUUAUAAGAGAUCGUGGUUCUUUAUUGUUUAACAUUAAUAUAUUUUUAGCUAUUUUGUCAUAUAAAAUAAUUACCCCUACAAAAUUUGUUGGUUUGAAAUAGUGUAAAGAGAAUUAUUUUUAAUUAACGUAAAACAUUUUCCCGUUUUUUAGAUAAGUUGAUAUGUUUAUUAUUUACAUUUACAUUAAUAACAAACAUUUUGUUGCUUGUUUUUUAUGUUUUAUGGAUUUUUGUACCGUGCAACAAAAGAUGUUGGUUCAUACAUAUUCGAUAUCAAAAUCCAUAAAAAUGUGAAAAUAUCCCUGUGGUGAAAAUUUUAUUAAGUUUGAUUUAAAUUGUUAUCUACCUAAAAAGCAGUUUUAAAAAAUGAAAAGGUAAAAAAAAUCUAACUUUUGAUUAUAUGAGUGAACAUAGUUCAAAGAUAAUUGACAUGUACUCUUUUACGGAAAGUUCAAAUCAUUUUUUUCACUCGUUCUAAAAAGUUCAAAUCAUUUUUUUCACUUGUCCUAAAAGGAUGUUGAUAAAUAAACACAACUUAUUGAAUGUUCAAAUCUUCGAACCUUUUCCCACUUAUCCUAAAACGCUAAAUAAACACAAUUGAUCAAAUGGAGGUUUCCAUGAGUAUAAAUUUGCAUUAAAAAAGCAUCAAUUCAUUUUCUUAUGAUUAGAGGUGGCUAAUGUACUUGAAACAAAACAAUCAAAAGGAGAUACAAGAAAUAACAUAAUAAAUGCAAUUUUAGAUUGAGGAUGUAAUCGAACAUAUUUCAACGAACAUAGUGAUGGCAUAUUUUAAUUAAAGAAUUUGAUAAUAACUUAUGUUUGUUAAGAUUAAAAGUCUUCUAUAUCAUGCAAUAUAGAGUUGUCCAUCUUUGCUUAAACAAUUGCAUCAAUAACUACUCAACCUAAUGUUACAAUUUGACCUAUAAAAGUUCAAUUUUCAUGUAUAUAACCCCAACACAAUCACACCAACAUAAGUUGCUACUAUUCGAUUGUGUAUAUAUAUAUUAAGAAAAAGGUUUUUUUUUUCUUUUCAAUCAUGGACUAAUUCGAUAUAACAACCCACCUGACCCCACUCAUAUUCCAAGUUUGUGGCAUAGAAAUAUUGCUCCACAUGACAAUCUGAAUAGCUGGGCCCUUCGUGCUAUUCUCCACGAAACUAAUAAAGAAAGCCUAAAAAUCUUACUACAUUUAGAAUCAUCGAAUAAUCAAUACUUCAAAUACAGAAUAUAGCUUUUGAUGGGUGACAAACGGCAACAACAGUGGUAGAUGUGAAAAUUGAAAUUUUCAAUGUCUAAAUCACAAAAAGUUCUAUAAUUUACAAUAAUUCAUCAACAAUGCACAACUUUAAAUAAAUAAAAGUAAUGAGAUAGAAUUAAAAUCAACAAAGUUCUUCAUUGGCUAAACUGGAGAAUAAUACAACCGUGUCAAAACAGAACGCCAAAUAGAACCUUUCCUAAAAGGGGGGAGGAGAAAGAAAGAAAGGGAAUAAAAAGGGGGUAAAAAGCAAUAAAAAGAAAGUUUUAAACCCACCCCACAAAGAUCAAUUUUAGAUAUUGUUGAUGUCUAUGUUACAAAAUCUCAAAAAUUGGUAGAAUGUGCAUCCUAUGAGCAAGAACAUGAUGCAUCAUAUGAGUACACCUAAUGAAAGAAGAAAAAAGGAAAAAGAAGAAAAAAAUACACAUACAAUAUUCCGAGACGAAUAAAUUGAAGCAAAAGUGAUCAAAACACCUCAGCAACCUUACUUGCGAGUACGCGUUCUCUUCUUUCAAUAUAUCCAAACGGGAACCAACCUGCUUUACCUUUGCACUCUCCCUCGGCCCAACCAUUGUUCGACACCUGUUCAAAGAAAGAAAGAACCAAAUGAAAACACAAUCGGUAAGUAAGCAAGGUUCGUUCCAAAUCCGAAAGGAUAACUUUGAAAUGUUGCCAUUCAAAUAUUUAAGGGUGUAUGAAUUUAGUUUACAAUACAUAAACGCAUGUAACCUUUCUGACAACGACGUAGUCGCCAACUGAUAAAUUGAGCUCAACGUCUGACUCAGCUAGGUACGGAUGCAUAACCUACAAGAGAGAUGAUAAAACAAACAAGACAGUAAUUUACCCAAGAAAGGUAAGAAAGAACAAACAAAAAUUGCUCUUUGUUUCAAAACUACCCCUAUUCUUUCUAAAGUUGCGACAUUAUCCUUGACCUUACAUAAAUAUGUCAAAGCUACCUUUGGAGUAAAAAUUCGUUAGAACGUAAGAUCAAUUAUCAAAACUGGGAUUUGAAAGUGUGUCAGAGACCUGAUUGAAAUUGAAACUUGAAUACUACGACACUGUUGCAGCUCACCACUACAAUCGUUCCCAUUCAUGUCCAAAAUUCUAAUAGAUUUCUAUUGUGACUUUUGAAAGAAUAUAAUAUACGUAGUUCCCAAACAAAGAGCAAAGUUGGCUAGCAUUUUUAUAAAACAAAUAGACCAAAGAAAAAGGAAAUUGGCAAGCUACCUCUCCCAAAAAGUAACCCAUGGCAUCUGUUGAGCCAUUAUGUGCUUGAGAAGCAAAUACACCAUUGACUUCUUCAUAUGAUGGGGGAGGCGGCAUGCUAUUGUCGAUACUUGGACCAGGAGGAGGAGUCGGGGGAGCUUCAAUUCUCUGCCGCUCCAAUAUCAUCUACCAUCAAAAGAAUAUUACAUGCUUAAUAACUCUUCAACAUUAAGUGAAUAGCUUCAUAACCAAACUGGCACAUGAUUGCUACCUCGCCUUCAAGCUGAUCAAGUAUCUGAAGGACUCUCUGAUGAUAGGCACGUUCUGCUUCAACCUUCAAAAUACAGGAUGAUACAAUACCAUUAAUUUCGACCUUUGGACUCCUAAAAAUAAAAUACAUCUAAACAAAAUCAGAAAACCACCAAAAGUCCUGAUAACAUUAUACCCACCAUGGCAAUGAGUCGUUGGAGAGUUAGCCUCUGUUGUUGAGCUUCAACAGCAGCCAUGGCUGCUGCAGCUUCCUUUCCCAUUGUUGCCAUAUUUGACUUUAGAUCAUGCAAUUUCGCUUCGGCAGCUUCCAACUUCACAGUAAUCUCAGCAUUGCCCGGUGCUUCCCUAACUCUUGCCUGGCGCUUGAAAACCUCAAUAGCCUGUCUAGGUAGAACAUAAAGUGCUACUUAAUUAAACGUAGGAUGGAAUUGAAACCUUACCAAAGUACAUCACAUCCUGAGCCAAUAAAAAUAUAUAUUAACUUUUUUUUAAAAAAAAAGGCCUAUUUACAUAUCAAGAAUGAGAAAAGGUACGCAUGUAACCCUCAAUCCCAUUGUUGUAAUUUACAUCAAGUCAAGUCAUUUCCUACUAGUAAAUCCACAGUUUCUACUUAUUAUACUGUAGGACUCCAUCAAGAGAUAGGAAACUCCCACUCCCAUUUACUUAUUAAUGUAGAUCCACCAGUUUUUACCAUAGCAUUUUCCUUUCUCCGUAAUUUUAUUGUGGAUCCCAUACAACUGUAAAUUAGUUUCAUAUAGGUCAAAGUAGAUAACAUCGCUAGUAAUGAAUCUCAUUAUCAUUUGGAUUCCAUAAUUAUUUUAGUAAACCCAACAUAAAAUUUUCAGAUCCAUUUUUCACAUAUUUCAUAACAAUUUUUUUCCCUUUUCCUAUGCAUUCCGAUAAGCAUUUCAAUUAAUUUAAAUAAUGGAGGAUCUUAAAGUAUUGACGAAUUACCUGAGCUUCAGCUUCUUGUCGCAUUCUAUCAUAUCGUUGAGCAAGAUGUCGAGCAUCCUCCAAAGGAGCACCCAUAACCAUUGCUCUCAAUGGCUCUGCUACCUGUUAAUUGAAAUGUGUAAGUACACUUGAAUCACUGUCCUUAGUGAAUAAAGUAUCAUUUAAAGAGUUGCAACUCAGGAUGGAUGGGUUCCUCAUCAUUUCAACUCAGAAUGGGCAUAGUCCUUAAUUGCCUAUAUUCCUAACAAAGAGAUCUAACCAUGAAUUUUUAACCUGAAUGAGUUAUGCACGGCCCUUGUACUUUUCUAAAAAGACUAAAUCAUCUUUAAAAUUAAAUCAGCAAGAAUUUGACUAGCUAUAAUUCAAAUGACAUCUAAUCUAGCACAGAAAUCCAUAAUCUAACCUGAGUGCCAAGAGCCUUCAGCAUGUUUCCACGUUCUUUCUCCAUUUGAGCUCGGGCUCGCCCAUAAUUUAAUGCAGCUUUCGAUAACGUGCUGCCACUAGUACAUGUAUUUUCAGCACCAUAUUUCCUGCUAUCCUCUGACAACUUUGUUCCUAUCGAAUAAUGAGAACAAACAGAACAAUGACAAAAUGAUCUAAAUGUUACAAACAAAUAUUAUCUAAAUCUCAAUUCAAUUGUAAGACUUUAAACUCAAAGAUAAUUAUUUUUAAAUAACAACAAUGGUUAAAAAAAUAAAAGAACUUACCUAUUUCGACUUGUUUUGAACCGGUUACAAUAUAUCCCUCUACUCCUCGUACAAUAUCCCUUUGAAAGUGCUAAAAGAAGAAAAAAAUUCACAUAAAUAUAGAAACAACCAUUUGAAAAGAUAAAGAAGUGAAACCAUAAGGAUGAGUAGCAACCUUUCCAGCACGAGUUGAUAUAUACAACUUUUCUAGUUUUUGGUGUUGGUGAAGCUCCGCCUCAUCCGUAAUAAUGUUAUCCGAACCUCCAUAUCCUCCAGCACCAAACUGUUUGAGUACAGCCUACAAUACAAAAUGAGGUUGCAUUAUGUCAUUGACUUUUCUAGCAGUACCAAUAAUACACAAAUAAAAUCUAAGCUAACCACUCUUCCAUUAAAAUUACGAUAAGCAACCAUGAAUAAACAAAUGGAGAAGAGAUAUGAUCAGGAAAUGGAUCAGAAACACAUUCCUUCAACUUCUUUUCCAUUUCUAUCUACUUUCUGAAGAGCAUUUCUUCUGAAUAAGACACUCACCCACAACUCUUUAAAAAGCAUAAAGUUACAGUUACCUAUCACAUCAAUCCUGUUACAAUAAACAAAAAACUACCGGCUCCUAGCUGAUAAGAAAUGCCGCGGAAAACACAUUCAUCUCUAUCUUUAAAUUAUCCACCAGCAAAAGAUAAACGAAGAUUAGAUAAUCAAAGAUUUAACUUCCAGAUCCAUAAAUUCGUAAAAAAAAAAAGUCAUGAAUCAACAAAAGCAUUGACAUCCGAAUCAAAGUCACAUAACCAGGAGUAGCAUUAUCGAAUAUUCCGAAAUAAAGAGAAAAAAAAAACAAAAAAACAAAAAACAAAGAAGCUAAGGCAUGAAAGAAGAAGAAAAAUAUUUACAAAAAUGAAGAAGAAAGCUUGAAGAGAUUGAAGAAAACACAGAAAUGGAUCUAAGCAAGAGGAAAGAGUUUAGGGUUCGAUCGGAGGAGGGGGAAAAAAAACCUGUUGCUGGCGAGCGACCUGUUCACGGAGCUUAGUGGCUUGCUUUCGGAUGGCAUCCAUACGACGGGAGGAAUCUGGGCGGGCGGGAAUCGGAGGAGAAACGGCGGGGGGAUCGGAGAAGGAAGAAAAAAUAAGAUGAGAAGAGAGAGAGAGAGAGAGAGAGAUGAAAGGUUUUUGUUUUUAAAUAAUUUGAUUUAGUUUUUGAAAAUUGGGAAGAGAAUGAGAUGAGCACUUGAGGCUUUCGGAGGCUUCGUAUUUACAUUUGUCUCUCUUUCAUUUUCAUUACCUAAAAUCCUUUUUUUCAAAAAACAAAUGAAAGUUUCUUAAUUUCUUUAUGUACAAAGUUAUGAUUAUUUACUUUUAUCCUAAAUUAAUCCUAAGAUGGUUUUUUAGUUUUAAAUACUAAAAUUGUCAACAAAAAAAACGUUCGUGUAAAAGAUUACGUGAAAUUCACCGACUCCUUAAACCAAACUAGGAGUGAAUUAGUUUAUAUUUAUCGUAGUUUAUAAAAUUUUAUUAUAUUUGUAAAAACAUUGACUCGUUUAUGUAAAAGUAUCCAAAUGUUUUUUCCCUAAAGUUUAAUUCGAAAAUUGUCUCCAUCUAAUAUUUGACUUUUACUUUUUUAUUUUUAAAAAGAAUUCAAGAAAGGGCAUAGAUUCAAACCUUUCUAAUUUGACUUUGAGGUGGAUAGUUUGAUAAUCAAACUUCGAGAUAGAAAUAUAUUACGUUUGAAUUAGUUCGACAUUUUGGAAGUUUAAGUUCUAUUCAUGCUUUUAAAAAUUAAACAUAUUUUAUCAUCUAAUCUAAGAAUGAUUUGCAUUUUUCAUUAUAUGAAUACUUAACCAAAUUUAAAAAUAAAAAUAAUUUUUUGAAAGUUUCCUUUUUAAGUUUUAGUAAUCUAUAGACUUAAUUUUAAAAUAACAAAAUAGUUAUCAAGCAAAACUUAGUCUUUGAAGUUUCAAAACUAUGCUUUCUUUAAUUUAAAAAAGUGUUAAGAAGAACAAGUUUUUAAUUUUGUGUUUAAUAAGUUUCAAUUUUGUUCUAACGUUUAGUCCACUCAAUAACGAAAAAAACAUAAAAAAAAAGAUCGAAAAAUUAGAUAGUGAUAAACCAACAAACUUAUAGAUAAAAUUAUAACAAGGUAAGAAUCUCUCUUCCAAAUUGACAGUGUAGGUUAAAUUAUGAAAUUCAAAACAUGAUUGGAAUCUUUUAUCAUCUUUUUAAUUUGAAUUUUCUUAAAAGUUAGAAUUGGAAUAUAAUGAGAAAUAUUGGUUUAUAAUAAUUAUAAAUAAUGGUGCCAACCAAUGAAUUGAGAGCUUAGCAAUAUUGUGGCGUAUAAAAUAAUCUACCAUUUUUAUUGCUAUCAAUCAUUACUUCCAUACAAGGAAAAUAAUCAUAAAGUAUACAUUUCAUUAUACUAUAAAGUCCAAUUCCAUAUUAAGGUUUCAUCUUAAUAUAUACUUACUAUCUUUUUAUCUCUCAAAGUGCGUGAGCAUGCCUUAGCUUCACAUUUUUCAAUAAUAUCCUUUUUCUUAAAUUUUCAUCAUUUCUUCCUUUUCUUACAAGCAGACAUUUUCAACUUUUUAUAGAAUAAAGUUCGACAAAAUAAUAAAUAAAUCAAAAUUAAUAUCUAACAACAACUUUGCUUAAUCGACGUUAGAGGUUAAUUGUUUAAACUCAUUCACCUUCGAUUUGUACUAUUGAUACCUUAAUUAGUAAGAGUAUUCAACGAUUGUGAUUGGAUAUGUUUGGUUAUGAGUUUGAGAAUGUUUUUUAAUUUUGUUGAUACAAAAAUGUGUGUGAAAUGAAAUCGCAAAUCUCUUAAUCGUUAAUAUAUAGUUGAUAUCGAUUUAGGUAAGCUUGUUGUUUAUCAAUUAUUGUUAUGUAUUAUUUUUUUCUAGACUUGUGUGAAUGAAUAUUCAUCGGCCCUGAUAUUAGGUCAUGUUUACCGAUUCGUAAUGAAAUUUUGUAUGAUCGUAACGAAAUUUCAUUAAUAGAUUAAUUGUAAUAAACUCCAAUAUACAGUACUAGUUUUUUUUUUUUUUUUUUUUGUAUUUACCCAAAUUAGAACGGUAACAAUGCAAUGUAAUUUUCAAACGCAAUCAAAUUAAUCAACAAUUUGUCAAUUGAAUUAUAACAGUGUUGUUGAUUAGAGUAAUUUAACUUCAUUUGUGAUUUUCUUUUUUUACUUUAUUCGAUGUGUAUUUUGAAUUUAAUAUGGUUUAAAAUAAUUUUGUUUUAUUUUUUUACGUUGAUUUUGUUUUGGUUUUACUUUGUUUAAGUUUUGUAUACCAUAAUUGUUAUAUACUUAUAUUAUGUAUUAGUUGGUUGAUAUACUUAUUACAUAGUUUUCAUUUUUUUUUUUUCAAAUUUUAUGAAGUUCAUUAUAGUAUUAUUAUGUAUAUGAAUAAUAUAACGCAAUAUAUCAUUAUCAAGUAUAUCAACAACAUAUUGUUAAAGCAUAUCAGCAAAGUGAAUUGUUAUCAAGUACAUGAAUCAAGUUUACAAAUGUAUAUCAAGUGUAUAAGUAGGAUUUCAAGCAUAUCAAAUGUAUUUAAUCAAUCAAAUUAUAAGUGAACAAUACUAAUUAAGUGUAUUUGCAUAGUGCAUCGAGUGUAUCAAAUAUAUCAUGUACAUCAAACGUAUUAAAUUUGUUUAGUGUACCAAUGAAGCAUAACAAGUUUACUAGUGGUGUAUCAAGUGUAUCAAACUUAUAAGUGGAGCUUUUAAGUGUAUCAAACUAAUCAAGAGUAUCAAGGUCUAAGGGGUAUCAAGUGUAUCGAGAAAAAUCAAGUGUAACGAGGAGUAUCAUGCGUAUCAAGAUGUUUCAAGUGUAUAUCAAAAGGUAUCGAGUGUAUCAAAGAGUAUUAGAUGCAUCAAGUGUAUCAGCAAGAAAUAUCAAAUGUAUCAAGGGGUAUUAGGUGUAUCAGACACGUAUAAAGUGUAUCAAAUGUAUAUCAGUAACGAAGGACAUUUGUGACAUUUUAGUUUUUGUCACUUUUGCAAAUAAUAAAGUAUAUGUACUAUGAACUUAAUUAUUAUAACUUGUUUUGUUAUUUUUGUGAGUGCUAUAUAUAUAUAUAUUAGUAAACUUUAUAGUUUAGGUUAAAAAUACCUCUAAACUUUUAAAAAUUUAAAAAAUGUUUUUCAAACUUUUAAAAAGAGUUUAGAUGAAAACCGUUAAAUUUUUGUUUGCUUAAAAAAAACAAUGUAAAAUUUUCAUAAGUAUUCUUGAGUUUUUUUUUUUAAAAAAAACUAUCAUCCAACCAAAAUUUUAAGUUAAAAGAGAUUUCUUUUAUAAUUAUUUUAGUAUGUUUUAAGAGAAUAUUUUAAAAUUUUGAGAUUUGGUUGAAUUUUAUGUUAAAGUAUAAAUGAAUAAAUCAAACUCAUAAUUUUACUAAAAUUUUAAUUUUGAUAAAUAUUUAUGAAAAAAUUAUCAAGUUCAAAAUUUAAAUUUAAGUUAGUAAAUAAAUAUUUUUUCACUUUCAAAUAAAUAAAUAUAAACAUGUGUAUUAUAUUUAUAUAAGUACCAUUUUUAUAUUUAUCUAUUAUGAUUUAUGAAUUUGAUUCACCCCUUCAACCAAUAUAAAUAUCAACAUAUCAAUAUAAAUUUAAACAAUGAUGAAAUUAAAUUUAAGUUUCCAUUUUAAAUGAUAAAAAUUUAGUCUAAAAAUUAGAUUACUUAAUUGAAGUAUUCUUUUAACUUUUUUAAGUUAAGACAUUUACAAAACUUUUAAAUGGUCUAGUGACAUUUUUAAAACAAAACUUCAAGGGUUUUAUUUUAUCCAAACUCACGAUAGUAUUUAAUACUCCUCUCAAACGUCAUUUUUUUUACCCAAACCUAUAUACAUCUUUUUUUUUUAUAAUUUAGGCAUGUCUAUCAGCUGAGAAUUUGUUAUAUAUAUAUAUUUCGGAUAUUUUUUUUUGGUUGCCAACAAAUGUGCUAAUAUUUAAAUUGAAGAAUAUGUGUUCUAAUAUUGAAAUUUAAACAUUUAAACUAUAGUAGAGUUUUCUUAAGGAUACUCAAAAUUUCUUUUAAAUGGGAAUUUAUUGGAGAAUUUGCACCUAAAUCACCACAAAAUUAAAUGAAAGAUUUUGUGGGAACGAAUAUGAAAUAGAAAGGAAGGGAUGAUGACAAAGAUGUCAUUUCGACCUACCCUGCCAUGAACAAAAGUUGUAUAUGAGUUAGAGUUAAUUCUUUAUAGAAGAUAUGAAUUUAAAUGUAAUGUUCUAUUUAAAUAUGUAAUUGAGAAACAAUUAAACUACACAUUAAGAAACAAUUCAUUUCUUCUUCUGUGCCAUCUACAAGACAAAAAUAAUAAUAUCAAGAAACCAAACACGACCUCAGACAACACGACUUAAAAAGGGAAGAACCUCAGACGAACCCUAAACCAUCAAACCUAACCACACAACAAAUCACUAGGGGUGGAAGUUAGUAUUGUGGACAGAGAGGUUAUGCUCAUGAUAAAGAUGAAAAAUGAUAGCAUGACAGUUAAGCCACACGAGUCAAUAAAGUAAUAAACCUAGGAGUAUUUCAAGUGUCGAAUUCCUCAAAGACUAUAUCCAAUUUAGAUUCUCAGAGGCAAUGCAAACAAUGUAAUCAAUAGUAACUAAAUGUGAGAUUAGGUUGACUGUUGAUUAAAACAGUAAACAAGAAGUGGUAACGAGUGUCCUAAGAGACAACAUUGAUAACUCCCUCGUCACAAAGUUCCUUUGGAUAUUUGUUCACUUAUUGUUGCUAAUCAACAGUCAGCAACUUUCAUUCUUUAUAUCAACACUAAUUCUAGAGUCAAAGUUUUCCAUUUGGUUUUCAAAAUAGAAAUAUUUCUGAGGCAAAUCAAGAGGUUCUAUCAUUCCAACACCAAAUCCAAAACAAAGUAGCAAUUAAGUUAAAAAUCUUUCUCCAAGAAGAUGAGCAUAUAUAGAAACGAGAUUAAGAAUUAGUAUUUCAAAAUCCGUUGUAGGUUACCUAAAAUGGAGAAGAAAGAAAAAUUUAAGGACUACCAACUUGACCAUACAAAGUAAAAAGGGCAUAAUCAACCUAAAGAUAGAUCUGAACUCAAUUCCUGUAAGAUUCCAUUCACCAAGAAGAAGAUGAAGGUGAUGGUGGUUUUACUCUGUUGCUGGGCAGCUUUGGUGGCUGUUGAGGAAGACUGUCAAGUAUAAGGACCCUAUACAGCCACUUAACAUCCGGAUCAAGGACCUGAUGGAAUGAAUGACUCUAGCAGAUAAGGUUGGGCAGAUGGCACAGUUGGAUUCUUCGGCCACCACACCGGAAAUCAUAAGAGAUUACUCCAUUGGCAGUGUGCAACGGAGGCAGUACCCCAUCUCUACAGGCUACUGCACAGGAGUGGAUUGACAUGGUGAAUUCCUUCCAGCAGGCCACAUUAUCAAGUAGGCUUGGAAUUCCAAUAAUGUAUGGUAUUGAUGCCGUCCAUGGUCACAAUGGCGUCUACAAUGCUACCAUCUUCCUCAACAAUGUCGGUCUUGGUGCAACCAGGCGAAAAUAUAUGAGAGGAGGAUCUAAACUUUGUUUUCACAAACUCCCAAUGCCAUUUGGAGAUAUUGGUGGUUAAAUAGUUUUCUCAUGUGACAGGGAACCUGAACUUUUAAGAAGGAUUGGUGCUGCUACUGCUAAAGAAGUUAGAUGAACUGGGAUAGAUUAUGUCUUUGCUCCAUGCAUAGCAGUAUGUUUUCUUAAAUUCAUUUCCCUUUAUUUAUAUAAACUUGUCUAGUUCAAAUAGAACGAUGAGCAUUUUCAUUUCAGGUCUGUAGAGAUACGAGAUGGGGAAGGUGUUAUGAAAGCUACAGUGAAGAUCCUGACAUUGUCAAAGAAAUGACAGAUAUCAUAGCUGGGUUGCAAGGACAAACCCCAUCUAGUUCUUCAAAAGUUAUUCCUUAUGUUGUUGGAAGGCAAGUUUUCAACCACUAAAGAUUUGGACAGAUUUUCCAUUCUACAAAACCUACUCAAAAAACCUCUUGGCCUUGCAACAGAGAAAAGGUUGCAGCUUGUGCAAAGCAUUUCUAUUUUGUAGGCGAUGGCAGGACAACAUGCGGUAUCAAUUAGAACACAGUUAUCAGCAAGCAUGGAUUGUUACGCAUUCACACGCCAGGAUACUAUCACUCUACAAUCAAGGGUGUCUCUACAAUAAUGGUUUCCUACUGAAGUUGGAACUGUGAGAAUAUGCAUUCAAACCAUGAACUCGUCACUGAUUUGCUUAAGAACAGACUAAACUUCAGGGUAUGUAUUUGCACUAGAUCCUCAUGAAUAAUAAGCCUAUACAAUGACAAUCCCCUAAAUUUGAACACACGUAACUAUUGCAGGGUUUUGUAAUCUCCGAUCAAGAAGGUAUUGAUAAGAUCACAGACCCAGCUCAUUCAAAUUACACAUUCUCAAUUCUCUCUGGAGUUUAAGCUGGAAUAGACAUGGUAAGAUAAUCAACAUAAGCAAUCCAAUCAACAUAGCAUCUAUACAUCUUAUAAAACUAGUUUUAUUGUCGUGAUUAAGAUUAUGGUUCCUGCAAAUUACACUGAGUUCAUCGAUGGCCUACCUACCUUAUCGUUAAGAACGUUAUUCUGAUGUCCUGAAUCAACGACGACGCCGUGAGAAGGAUUUUGAGAGUCAAGUUUAUGAUGGGCCUGUUUGAGAAUCCAUUGGCGGGUGACAGAUUUGUAAAUGAGCUUGGAAGCCAGGUUAGUUGGUCUGAAAAGACAAGGAAAUGUACUUUAAAAUUGAAAUAUUAUACCAAUUCAAAUGAACACUGAACAGGGACACAGAUUUGGCAAGAGAAGCAGUGAGGAAAUCACUUGUUCUAUUGAAGAAUUGCGAAAAUGCUGAUGAAACAGUUCUUCCUCUGUCAAAGAAAGCACCAUAGAUCUUAGUAGCCGGAACUCACGCCAACAAUCUGCGGCGGCCGGACAAUCACCUGGCAAGGACUCAGCGGACAAAAAUCUAACAACCGGAACCACCAUUCUCGAGGCAGUGAAGAAAACCGUUGAUCCAAACACGGAGGUCAUCUACAACAUAAAUCCAACAACCGAUUACUUCAAGGCGAACAACUUCUCGCACGUCAUUGUGGCUGUAGGAGAAACGCCGCACGCCGAGCCCAAAGGCGACAACCUAAACCUAACUAUCCCCGAAGGAGGCUCGGACACGAUCCAGAAGGUGUGCAUCGUUGUCAUCGUCUCCGGCCGGCCUCUGACGAGGCAGCAAUACACGUCACAAUUGGACGCGCUGGAGGCGGCGUGGCUGCCGGGAACGGAAGGGGAAGGCGUGACGGACGUGCUGUUGGGAGAAUAUGGGUUCACCGAAAAGCUGGAGAGGACGAGGUUCAAGACUCAAGAAAAAGAUGGUUAGGAAUUUUGUUUAUAAAUAAUUAGGGUUUCUUUGGAAAUUAAAUAAAUAACUAUUUUUUUUUUUUUUUAUGGAAAGAUGAUAUAAUGUAUUGCAAAAUUGUAUGAAAUAAAAUUAAGUAUAAGAGGUAGAGUUCACCUACCAAACCAAACAACUAUAACCACAACUCGUUUUGUUUCAUUUCUGAUCGAGAAGAAACCAUUAAAAUCAAAAUCAAUUUUCUAUGAUAGUAUCUAUUUCAUUUGUUAAGAUCAUUGUCAUGUUUAAUGAUCAUUGUAAAGCCUUUGAGAUUGUCGUUUCUCCAAUUUAGAUUGAAAAAAUUGUGCGAAUAAAGGUUCAAGUUUUGGUUGAUUUGCUUCAUUUUGGUUAACAACAAAAGUAACUCAUCGUUUAUGGCUUAACUGUUUAUACAAAUUUGGAUAUUUGACAAUUUGCAUUGAAGACUACCUUUCAAGGGCGGAUUUUGCCAUUUUCCAUUUUUUACUUUGUCCUUCAGUUUUAUCUUUGUUGCAUUGAAAAAGUAAUAUUUUUGUAGACUUGUAAUAGAAUGAAUCUAACCAACGUUUGAAAUAGAUAGAUAAUAAAAUUUUAUGUUAAUUUCGAUAAACGUCGAACAUUUUACACUUUUUAAACAAGUUAACAUUUUUAUUGUUUUUUUAUAUUCAAUUUAGCAACAUUUUUUUUUUCACGUUUCAUUGAUUUUUUUUUCUGUAAUUAAAAUGUCGCUCUAUCUUGCCUCGUGAAAAUUUAGAAAAUGCCAAUGAAAAUAUCUACAUAUAAACAAAUACAUAUCACCACAAAUUUAACCAAAUGAUUUUUUCUUUCAUUUUUUUAUCAACCAUCCAUGCAAAACGUCUUUUUAAAUUUGUUCCCUCCGAAUUAAAACAAUCUAAGUUAAAAAACACUAUAUAGCUAAGAACAUCUUGCAUUAUAAGGUCGAUAUAAAAGUUUCACAACAAAAAGAAAAAAUACUUCUUUUCUGACCCAUUUCUAAAAACUUUCUCUUAGAUACGUAAAGGAGAGGAUAUGAACAAAAGUCAUUACUUUACGUUCAACUAGCACUAUAAAAACCUAUUUACCAAUAGAAGUGGUAGAAUGAUUCUGAACACUUUAGCUUGGACUACUAGCACGUUUUUUUUUUCUUAUCUUUUAUUCACUCGUGAUUUUGUUACAACAAGGAAGUUUGCCCCUUUGUUUGUGGGUCACGCCUUAUCACAAGCACUAAAAGUAGAAAUAUGAAAAAACAUAAAGAUAAGAUAAGAUUGAAAUGUUAUGUAUCAAAAGCAUCGACGAAAGGUGAAUAUUUAUACCAAAAGUUUUACAACACAAAACUAUGGUUAAAAUUUUCCUCUCUCCUAUACAUAAAUUACACGUUUUAACAUUAUAUUCUUUAAACUAUUAGGAAAAACUCAAAAUUUAAUAUUUUAAAAAAUUACUCACUUCUAAAAAAUAUUAAAUAUUAAAAUGCAAUAAGAAAUGGUUAGUUUAGUUUAGUUGAAAUUAUUUGUAGUACAACUUUUGUUUUCAAUUAACUUCAUCUAUUAAUUAGUAUUUAAAUCUAUUAGGUUGAUUUCCAUUAGUUAAUAUUUUGUGUGGUUUCUUGCUUGGAUUUUAAAAAUAAAUUAUUACAUAGAUUAAUUUUUUUUUCUUACAUUAAUUAUAUGUCAAAUUGCCAUAGUAUUAAUUGAAGAUGGAGUGGGAAAAGGUUAAUAAAGUCAACUUGACAUAUCCACCCUCUUUAUCAUAAUUUCUUUAAUAAAAUUCUAAUAUUUACUGAUAGAAACCAUUUGAUUGAAGAAAAGAAACUAAAUUAAAUAUUCUUAAAAACUAGUUUAAAAAUUAUUUUAGUCAAUUAAUUACCUUAAAAAACAAAUAAAAAAUACUUCGAUUUAUAAGUGUAAGAAUAACUCAACAAUCGAACUACUCAACUCAUAUUAUAAAAGUUAGGUUGAGCUGAGUUUAAAAUUUUGAUUUUUUUCAAAUUGGAUUGGGUAUCGGAUUGUAUAUAUAUUUAUAUUAUAUAAUUUUAAAUAUUAAUUUAAAAAAUGUUGGUUUAUACUUAAGAUGAUAAUCGAAAAACCCAACCGAUUAGAAACGGGAUGAAAAGGGGAUCUAAUGAAUUACCAAACACAUUGAGUGGGUAAAAUUGGUUGAAGAGUUGGUAUUUUGAAUUCCUUUGAUAAAACAAUACAUAGAUUGACAUCUUCCUUUUGACCCCUUUAAUGAGCAAUAAAUUAUUGCACUAUUUAUUCAUAAUUUAAAUCCCUACAUUCCAAUUAACUUUAUUUUAAAAAAAAACCCACUAGCUCUUGGAUUUUGCCUACCUUUCAUCAAUGGAAAUAGAUGAUAAGGGCAGAUUUGUGGAAAAACAAUGACACCAUUUUUGAAAGACAAACAACAUGUGAUAUGUGGAGUGGAGUGUACUUUAUGUAAAAAUAAAGCCUUUUGGAGAGAUGCUUUUCAUAUUUUCCUAUUUCAAAUAAACUAAUGUUUACUAUUCAAUUAGCAUUAAAUUAAUUAUAAAUCUCAACUUGUUUGAAGCUGUAGACAUGAAGGAUUUUGUUUUUUCAUGUGCAACAAUGAAGGUUAUGAGGCCAGCUGAAUUCAAUUUGUUCUUUAGAGAAAACUCAAUGUCCGACAAAUGUUUCUAUGUUAUUAAUAGAAGAUAUAGAUCGAUAGAGUUAAUUGGAAGUCAACUCGAGUGUUGAGUUCAUUCCUUGUAUAAUUCGGUGGAUGAAGUGAGGAUUUGUUGAUUGAGAUACUUUGAGAUCUUUUUAGAGCGUUGUUGGUCCAUAAAUUCUCUACAAACAUAAUAUCUAAAUACAUAAUUUACAAAAGGAAUUGGUCAACUGGGAGAUUUUGUUAGUGUCAACAUCACACUCUAAAAUUGAAUAUUCUAAUAAAAACAACUAAGUAUGCUGCUAGAGGAAUUUGAAAUUUCUAAAAAUUGGAAGGGUGGAAUUAUUAAAUAUAAAAGUUAGGGUUGAUUAAGAUAUUUGUAAAUAGGUGGUAAUAAUUCAAUAGACCAAAAGAAAAAGGAAGUUGUGCUGUAAAGAGAUAUGGAAGGUGAGAAGCAUGAUACUAUGUCAAAAGCAACAAAUUAAAAUAAUAGUUAUAAUAAUUAUAAAAAAAUUACUUUUCAUAAUUAUAUUUUGAAUCUAGAUUUUAAAUAUUUUAAAUGAAUAUCAGUACAUACAUUUCAUAAUGUGUUGAUUUGAUUCACUAAUUUUUUAUCGUUAUAUUUUAAUUUUGUAUAUUUUUAAUUAUUCAUUGUAUGUCUCUGAUAUUGAAAUGAGUGAUCUCUCAAUUUUUACUUUUGUAAAUUAGUUUUAAAAAAAAGUAAAUGUGAACAUUUCUUCAAAACAUAUAUAUAAAAAAACUAAGAUAACAAAAACAAAAAAGUGCGAAAAAUAACAUUAUUAAAUUCAAUAAUCAAAUAAAAGUUAAACUUAAAAUUCGAAAUUAAAAUGUAAGAAGUAAAUAAAAACUAAAUUACAAAACAAUAUAUAUAUAUAUAUAUAUAUAUAUAUAAUGAAAAGAAAUGUAAAGAAGACGAUAAGUUAGAGAGGAUAGUGGACAAUGAAAAGGCCUUUGCUUUCGUCAAAGAUGGCCGAACAUUGGUUUUCCCAAAUUAAAUUAAUUAAAUCAAAUCCAUUGCGCGUCACUCUUUUUUUCUAUUAAAUACAUUUUACAAAUCAUCAUUUUUUCUUUAAUAACAUCAGUAAAUAAUGGUUAUUAGUAAUUUCACAAAAAAUAAAAAAUACAAAAUUAUGCCUUUUCUUUUAACCCUUUCAAUUUUUUGUUAUCUUUUAAUGUUUUUUUUUUUAAAAAAAUAAGUUCAUUGUUUUAACCAACAAAGAAUUCAGUCAGUACCCAAACAAAUUGUUUUUAAAAAUUAAUUUUUUAAAAAGAAGAAGAAAACAAACAGAUUAGUGAACGAACUCUUGAUUUGUAGUGAGAAGUGAAGAGUUUGGUGAAUAGCUUGUUUUGAAUAAGAUUGAAGAAUGACAUGAAGAUGAUGGGUCAUACAAAAAUGUGUAACUUUACUUCAUUUUCAUUUUUAGAUUCAUGUUUCUUUCCUAUCCGACUCCAAAUUCAAGUAUAAUUCAAUAAAUAAAAGCAUAAAUUUAUUUAAUUUCAUCUCGUAUUAGAUUUUAAAAUAUAAAACAAAAUGUUUAAUCCUACAAAAGUAUAUCAAAUACACUAUUUAUUAUUGAUAAAAUUUAAAAUUUUACUAUAUUUUAUAAAUAUUUUAAUUUAUUGUUAUAAAUAGAAAAAUGAUUUAAAAUAUUCCUAAAUUAUAACAAAAUUUCAUAACUAUACUAAGGUAAAGUAUUUUAUAUUUUAUUAUAUUUUAAAAUAAUUGAGAUAUUUUAAAGUUGAACUGAUAAGUAUAAAAACAAAAGUAAUAUUAUAAGGAAAUAAAAAUACAAAACCUAAAAAGGAAAACUGACUUCGAACCCUAUGACAUAUUCAUUAAUAUGAUGUGAAGUAUAACUAAAUUUGUUAAUACAAUGUAUAUUUUUUUCAUAUAGUAUUUUUCGUUUUUUCAUUGAAGCAACAUUAUUAUUAUUAUUAUUAUUUGCUAGAGCAAAUGAGCUUUUUUAUAAUUGAUAUAAUUCUGUAAUUCGAUAAAGUGUGCCUUUAUAUAUCGAAAAAAUUUAAUACAUUAUGGAUCUAUUAGAUAUCAAAAUGAAAACUUUCAAACUUAUUAGUAAAAAAAAUGAAAAAAUAAAAUUAAAGACUAAAUAAUACUUUAUGAAAUUUGAAAGUGUGUUGCAAUAAGUGAAUUUUAUAAUUUAAUCAGUUAAGUGUGUUGUGGUAAGGCAGUAGAAAUAAACUUUAUAUUAAAAAAAUGAUGACAUUUUGUUUGUUAAAUAUGCAUGCACAUUCGAAUUUUGUCAUUCGAUAUUUUAGGUUUGUUUUUUACGUUUUUGAAUUUUUUCUUAUUCUUAUUUUUCUACAAUUUUUCUUUUAUAUAUUUUUUGAAAUCAUGAUUUUUGUUUUCAAUCAAUCAUCAAUUGUGUUUUUUUCAAGUGUUAUUUUGUUCAAGAUUGUGUAGCAGUGUUAUUAAAUAGUGUAUCGAAUAUUUGAUAGACAAUCUUAAACAAAAAAAAAAAAAUCAUUGAGAUAGUAAGACAAGAUAAGAUUAAAAUCGUGUACUAAAUAUUUGAUAUAUGAUCGUUUAAAUUUGGGUAUAUGAUCUUGUACGAUCUUAAACCAAAAUUAUUUAAAUUUGGUACGCGAUUAUAUAUCAUUUCUACAUGAUGACGUAUUAGAAUAAGAAUUAUCUACACGAUCAUGCACUAGAAUAAGAAUUAUCCACACAAUUAUGUAUUAGAAUAAGAAUUACACGUGUGUGACCAAAUUAAUGGCUAGUUGAUGAUGACAUUUUUUGCAUUUCUGUUAUCGGGUGGGCUUUUUUCAUUUGAAAUGGUUCACAUACAAAUUUUAUUUUCAUCUUUUCAAAUUUUAUUUUCGUUUAAAUUUUUCAUUACUAAGUGUGUCUUUCUUUUAUUUUUUUUCUAAAUGGUUGAAAAUAUUUUUGGACUUGUUUGUAUUUUUGAAAAAACUGAUUUUAAAAGAAGAAAAAAAAGUAUUUUGAAAGGAAAGGGGGGAGAUAAAAGGUCAAUAAUGGAAGGCGCUGAGGGUGGCUGCCAACGCGAGUUUCCAUAAUAUUCUGCCACCUAAUCAAUCACAAAUGAACACAACAUCACAAAACCAUUCUCCUUGUGCAUUGCACGCACCCACACACCAACUCUCCGAUUCAAAAAGCUACCCAUCGCACGGUGCACAACAAACACUCGCCCCUUUCUUUAGAGUGGGGGGAACAAAUCAGUCCCACAAACUCCGCCACAAACCCAUGCGUUUAAAACUAUAAAUUUAAACCCCCAAAAAGAAAAAAAGAAAAGGCAAUCUAGAAUGAAUCGUAAUUAACGCGGGGGCAAAAAUCCCGAAAAGGAACAAAAAGCCGAAAUUUCAAUUGCUGUAAAUAUUAGAAAUUUCAACGCUCAAUUUUGGAAAUUUUAAUUUAACGAUUGUGACCUUAUGGACACACCCACACACACACACACACCAAUUUAUCAAUUAUCCCCACAAGGCCUUUUCUUUCCUCGUUGCUUCCUCUUUCUAUCUCUUUUACUUUUACUUUUUUACUUUUCACUCCUUUCCUCUCAAUUUAUAUCUGCCUUCUAAUCUCCACCCUUCAUUUCCAUAUCCAUCUUAUCUGUGGCUCCCACCCUUCUUUUGGAUUCUCAAUUUUAACUAUCCAUGCAUUUGUAUUUUGUACUGAAUGUUAAUGGAAUUGAAUAUACCAUGUUCUAUCAUGUGAUUUUUAAUAUUAAUCUGUGAUAAAAUUUAGUUAGCAUUCAUACUAGACACGUCAACAUCCUCUUUUACCUUCCAUGAAAACAAAAUACUUUCUUAAGUCAUGGGUUUAGAUCAUACCUCCAAUUACCUCCACAAUAGUGAUGUCGUUGACUUCAAUAUAUAUUCUUAUGACUUUACUUUCGGCUUCUCCUAAAAUACUUUGUACUAGUGAACGUGGUUGUUGUCUCUUAAAUUAUCUUCUUAUUUAGUUGAUGGGGGACUUUGAUUGCAUUUCUAUCUAACAUUAGCUUUGCAAUUUUGAACUUGUGACGAUCUAGACUUGGUCGUGAAGAUAUUACUAACAUUAGUGAAUUUUCCAAUGUUUAAAAAGUAUAAAGAUUAGAUUGUUACAAAUUAAAAAAUAUAGUGACUAAAUGAUUAUAAAUUAAAAGUUCAAAGACUAAAUCAAUACUUGGGGGACCCAUGAGGAUUUUUUUACCAAAAGCAAAAGAAAAAGAACAUGUUAAAAAGUGAUUUAGAAUUGUAUUUGAAUAUCGUGAUUAAUAUUAUUGUUGGUGUUAUGAUAUAAGUUCAAUAGAAAUUCAACUUCUAACCUAUUUUGUGAAAUGAUAUUUGGGCAUUAGAUUGGGUGUAAACAAAUAUAUUGAAUUGCAAACUUUAUUUUCUUUCCAUUGUUUAAGUUCAACAAUAAAUGGAUGUUUAUUUUUUCUUUAAAAGAAGUUCAUUAGACCAAUGAACUAACCACGAUACUGAAGAAUAAAGGACGGCCAACCAAAAAAGUAAGGAUUUAACGAGCCUUAUACAAUAUCUCUCGAAACAUUAUACCACUUGAACGGUCGUUUUAAUAUACUAAGUUUAAAGUACUUUCGACUAGGAUAAUUUAAAAUCAAAAUCAUAGGCUCCUUUCACAGUGUUGGGAGUUCAUCAUUUUUUUUAUUUUUUUCACUUUGGACAACUAUAACUCUAAUAUUUUGAUAAUUGCAAAAAACAUUGGACUUUAAAGUUUAAACUUUAAACCAUAUCACAAAAAGCAUUGCAAAAUUGAAUUACCACGCUAAGCUUUAAGUGCUUUCGUUUGGGACAAUUUAAAGCCAAAGUCGUAUGUUCAUUUUAAAGUGCUUUUAGUCUAUCACUUCCUUAACUUUUAUAACGUGGGACUACAAUAACUGUAAUAUAUAUUAACUUUAAUGUUACGACUUAAACCUUCAAUUUCUCGUUAAAUAAACGUAGUACCGACGAACGCAUCCAAUUUGGGAAUCACUAACAAACACUUGCUCACUCUUGUAGUCCAAAUCGCCAUAAGAACGACCAUUUCAUAUCUAGGACCUACAACCAGGGGGGACCUUCAUAAAUCUCAAUUCAAAACGUUUUCUUUUUCUUUUGUAUUUAUUUACUUAGUUAAAAUGAGUGGAAUGGAUGUGGAAGUGAGUGCAAAUUAAAAAUAUAAAUUGAAAAUUUUAAGAAAAAUAAUAUGUGUAUAUAUAUAUAUAUAAAGAAAGAUAUAAAGAGUCAUAGUCAUGGUUGGGUGGAAGGAAGGAAGAAGAAGAAGCCGGCUAAGCCUGCUGUCCAUUAAGACUAAGAAAAGUCAGCCCCACCAAAUGAUAAAACCAAAUGUCCAAAAAUUAAUCAAAAUCAAUAUUUUUUUAAUUUUCUUUUUCAAUUCUGAUAUAAAUUUCAAAAGGGGUUAAUUUAUCCUUUCAAACUUUGGAAUCUGCAACUGCCCAUCUGACCCAUCUUUCCAUUUCUCUCCCUUUGCAAUUAUUUUUUGUUUUUCUUCCCCCUUUCUCAAACAGGUAAUAAUCAUUAAUUCAAACAUACAAAGUUUAGAAAUGAAUUUUGUGUGUGUUUUUUUUAAGGAAAAAUAAUUAUUUGUUUUUGUGUUUUGGUUGUAGAAGAAAUGGAGUUUUUGGAAGCUAAAGCUUUGAAAUCAAGUUUCCAUUGGGAAUUAGCCAUGAAAUCUGCUCAACAAGAUGCUUUGGUUGAGGAAGUUUGGUGUUUGAACGGUCCUAAUCUUGUUUCCGGUGAGGAUUUUGAGAUCGAAGAGUUUUUAAACUUCCCUAAUGGCGAUUUAGAACAUGGGUCUUCUUUGAGACUUCAAGAAGAUGACGAUUGUGAAGAGUUUGAGAAGAAUCGGUUCUCUGUUUCGUCUAAUUCGAACCAGUCCGAUGGGUCUCCGGUCGUCGGAGAGGAGGAUUCUAAGUCGCUUCUUGCUGUUGAACUUGCUUUUCCGGUAAAUUUAAUUUCUGGGCUUUUUUUUUUUUAAUGUUUUUGGUUCUAAUUGCUUGAAUCGAAAAUUCAAAAUCAAAAUCCCACUUUUCAGGGCGAUUCUCUGACGGACCUUGAAUGGGUUUCUCAAUUUGUCGAUGAUUCUUCCUCGGAAUUUUCCUGUGCCGCCGUGGCUUUCAACCGCUCCGAACCGGAGAAGAAACUCACCGGAACGGUUAUUUCGUGUUUGCCGACGUUUUUUCCGGUCAGACCGAGGACAAAAAGGUCUAGACAGUCUCGUCAAGCGAAAUCCGCAGGUUCUUCUCUCAAUCAAUCACCGUCGUCGUCCUCCUCCUCGACCUCCUCCGGUGUUUCCUCCGCCGCACCUCGGUUUAUAUUCUCCGACGCCGGCGAGAACGUGGACUUUUUGAACGUAACCGGUGAGCCACCGAAGAAGCAGAGGAAAAAGCCAUCGUCGCCGUCGCCAUCGUCAACGGGUCUUCUACCCACCGGUUCAACUGGUCAAAUUCCGCGGCGGUGCAGCCAUUGUCUGGUUCAAAAGACCCCACAGUGGCGGACCGGUCCAAACGGAGCCAAAACGCUUUGUAACGCUUGUGGUGUCCGGUAUAAAUCCGGUCGGCUCUUCCCGGAAUAUAGACCGGCGUUGAGUCCCACUUUUUGCAGCGGCGUUCACUCAAACAGUCAUCGAAAAGUACUUGAAAUGAGGAAGACGAAGGAAGUUCCACAACCGGCGACCGAGUUGGCCCCAAUGGUCCCGAGUUACUAAACACCAACUGAACCGGGUUCAGUUGAACCGGGCAGUAGAUGAUGAUGAUUAAGAAGGAAAUGACCAAAAGGGCAGAUUUUUGUUGUGACGCUAAAAAGGAAUCCAUUUGUAUUUGUAGGGUUAGGCGAGGAAUUAGAUUUAGGGCAUUUAAUUUUAGUGUAGUAUUUUUGUGAAAUUAAUUUCAUUAAUUUAGGUUUGAUUAGAUAUGCUUAGGUAGGCAAAAGAAGAAGAUUUUUGUAUUUUUGUAUUACUUUAGCUAGAUCACGAAUAUAAAAUACUCUAUUUCUUCUCACGAGAAUUAGUUGGAUCGAUAAAUGUCUAAUACUACAAUAGUUAGUAUAUAACUAUAUUUUAUUUGAUACGUCAUUCAAUGAUUUAUUGCAUGGACUUCACACACUUUCAAUAGUUGUUUAGAUGGCUAACAAUACUACUAUAGUACUAAAAAAUUUCUUUCACUUCAUUUAGUUGUUCUCGAUUUUUUUCUUUUGUUUUGUAAAAACAAUGAAAAAACAAAACAAUGAAAAAAGUGGAAGUGACAUUAUUGAAGCUUUUAAUUUGUUGUUGAGACAUUAUUGAAGGGAUUGUAGAGAGCAAUAAAGGUGAGUGUGGUAUGAGUGGUUGAAAUUAUCUUUACUUUAAGGAGGGACCAAAGUGGUGGUUGAUUCAACAAACAUUAAUGCUCACUUUCUUUGGUAUUGGUCAUUUUGGUAUUCUAACACUUUCAAUAUCUAACUUUGUCCAAUUAAAUUAUUAUCAUCUAAAAAACAUAUUUGUCCAACUCAUUUUACAUACAAAUGCUAAUAUCUUCCUAAUUAUUGCUCACUAUUAAAAAAAAAAAAACUUAUUCUAUAUCAAAUACAUUAUAGCCCAUGUACUUAGAAGUCGUAACAAUUUGAUCUAUAGCAUGUUCCGGAUAACUUAAUGAGCAUAUAGUAUGUCUUAUGAGUAAAGAAAUUUGUAGUUUAAAUCCUUAACCCUUAAUGAUACUCAUAAAAUUAUUUAUUAAUUAAUAACUUAGAUUUUGUAUUUAAAUAAGUGUACCAAUUGACACCCUCCUUCACGUUUCAUUUAGAAGAAUCUUAUGUGAAACUUAUAAAUGAAUAAUUAAACGAUUGAACAUUCAUAAAUAAUCAAUUUAGACUUAAUAUUUCUUUGAAAAUUAUUCAUGCACAUAUUCUAAUAAUCCAUCCAUUUUGGAUAACUGACAUUUGAAAAAGUUUAUACAUUUGAGACUUGAUGCAUAGGUAACUUUUAAAAGUGAUUGUAACCAAAGGUUACAUUGCUUUCUUGACUUAAAUUAUGAUUUUCAUACAAUAUUGGUCAAAUGAAUUUCAGAUAGUUAAGUCGAAGUUUAAAAGUAUAAAUCAAAAGUGUAGAUGACUAUAGAAAUGUAUUUGAAUUGAUGUUAUUAUAGCAUUAUGGCUUUCAACUUAAAUAGUUUCAAUUUGAACCGAUGAUUAUCUAUUAAUUACUUUUAUUUAAACCAUCACUUUCUGUCUUUCUCAAAUUUUAGAGAUUUCAAAAUUUUAAAUUUUCAAAAUUUCAAAAUCAAAGUAGAAUUUAAAAAAGAAUCUGUUUGAACUUGUUGGCAUUUCAUAUGCAUCCCCUCACAACCACAAGUAGUUGAUAUCUUAAUUUCAAUUUCUUUCCCUCGCAAAAUUUAAAAAGAGUUCAGGGACCAACAUGCAAUUUAAAAUUUUCUAUCACAAGGUUUUAUUAAUUGCAGUAAAUACCCCACAUAUUAUCAUAUUUAAUAUCAUAAAGUGAACUCAGAAACUAAUAAAAAUAUUCAUUUUCAAACUCAUCCUGAGAUUCAAAGGCCAAGCUUUGAGUCCUCCCAGCAAAAGCAAUGGCUUUCCAUCAAAACAUAAACAAAAUAUAAAACUUUAAAAUCAUUACUCUAUUCAUUACAGCCAAGUAACGAUGAUGACGACGUGCUCCCUUGAUGUCAUCUCUACACAGUUUAUAAGAAAGAUGAGAAGUUUAUCGAUAUUUCACAUGAUCGGGCCACGUCAGGAUUCUCAACCUACAUACUGUAAUGAUUGGUGUUUAUUCUACAAUCUGUGGAGGUACCACCUCAUUUCGGACGCCUUCGAUAAGGGUAUAAGAUAUCGUCCAAACUCUCUUUUACAUAGUUGCAAACUCUGUUCACAUUCCUUGCCACACCUGAUGCGACAAGAGCUGCAUUUCGUUUAAACCUGGACGUUGCACUCUUUGGGUAUUAGAAUUUUUUGUGACAUUGAUAUUGCUACUAAAUUUGAGGGUAUUUAGCAGUCUAAAGAUGAAAAGAGUUGAAAAGUUCUUGCCUGUUUAGAUACUCGUCUCCAGCCGGGUACGAUGGUUUAUAACUGCGUGGUUGUGGAAAAGCAGGGCUAUCUGCAGAAUACCAAGAUCAAAUUUGAAGAUUAAUAUCUCUGUGCAUGGGUUUAUUGAUGUUGAAAUCGAAGUUUAUAUAAAGAUAGAAGAAUAAAGAAAAAUAAAAAUGAGGAUUCAUGCUACCCAGAAAAAGGAAUUCGUUUUGAAAGCAGAGAGAGAUGAAAGAAUAUACAAUGAUAUAUACCAAAAAAACGUUCCAACAAAAAGGAGUCCGACCGUAACAACACGAAAAAGACCACCUAGAAGAACAAGUCCAAGCUCAUAAUUACAAAAAGGUCACAUCUCGUUACUGAUAUCCACAGUGAGGCACAUCAAACCUAGCUACCUCCCAAACCUCCUCACCCAAUAUCUCCAUUUCUCUACAAAGUCUGUUCUAGUACUCGAAAAUCACCUCCCCUUCGCCCAAUAUCUCCAUUUCUCUACAAAAUCUGUUUCAGUACUCCUCGAAAAUCACCUCCCCAGCCUCCCGCGAAAAAAAAAGUCACAACCAAAAGGAGUUCAACCAUAAAUGAAAAAGACUUUGAUCCAAAAGAACAAGACAAAGCUCAUAAUUACAAAAUGGUCACAUCUAGCUACGAGGCAAUAAACCUAGCCACCUCCCAAACCUCCUCACCUGAUAUCUCAGUUUCUCUACAAAUUCUAAAAUCUCUCCAUACAAAUAUCCCACAGAAAAGCGAAAAACUAUCUACCACAAAAUUUUGGGCUACACCCUAAUGGGGAGGAUAUUAGCACUGCUGGAAAACUGAGAGAUAUAGUAGUCAAACAAAAUUAUAUGGUAACUUGUAGUACCUUCAGUUUUAUUAUGAAUAUGAGCUUGAGAGUUUUCCGCUGGUCUUUUGUCCAACAAUACCUAACAAGCAUAUGUUUAUAGUCAAGAUAUAAAAUUAUAGAAGAAUAUUCUUUAGGUGACAGAAAUUUCAAUUCUCACAUUUGAAAUUUCAAUUCACAUUUAUAUGAUUAAGAACUCAGCUAAGACAGCACUUUAACGUUACCUACCUUAAAGGUUCCAGAAGCUAUAGUUUAAUUUACACAGACAUGCAUUAUACAUAACAAACCUCCAAUUCCAAUAAAAGAAAAUUUUUAGUUUAGUUAUAGAGAUUAAGCUGAGCAACACAAUCCUAUCCAGAUGAGAGCUUAACAUAAAUAUAUUUUAUGCUAAACAUGUCUACAUAAAGAAAUGAAACGUAUUAGAAGUUUAAUUAAGAGGUUAUUCUGUAGUUAGUCUGUUAGAAGCUGUUAUUAAAUUCUCUACUAUUUUAACUGUUGGUUCACUUUCUUCACUUGUGUGUAAAUACCAUUAGGCAAGACCAUUAAUAAGGUAAGAAAAUCUAAUUAUUACAUUUCUUCUAAUAUGGUAUCAGGUGUUUUACUUUCUCCCAACUAGUCUUCAACCUUCCCAUUCUUUCACAUUGACUGUUAUUUCCACCAUGGCUAAUGAAGAUCUCCCUCAAGAUCCAAAUCCUCCUCUAGCUUCAUUCCAAACGCAAAAGAAGCCCAAUCCCACUCCUCAUCGAGAUGCUUCUCCUCACCUAGUAGUUGAUCUUUCCAGGGUAUCUUAAUCCCUACUAUCUGCAUCACAACAACACCAGUCUAUGUUAGUCGAUGAGCCAUUGCCUGGAGAGAACUAUGUUUCUUGGAGUCGAGUGGUGAUUAUUGGACUAUCUGUCAAAAACAAACUCAGCUUUAUUGACGGAUCCCUCCCUCGUCCGACUGGCGGUCUUCUCUCUUCUUGGAUCCUGAAUGACAAUAUUGUUUUCUCUUGGAUCUUGAACUCAAGUCUCUAAGCCAAUAUCGGCAAGCAUUUUAUUUGUGGACUCUGCAAGGAGUACCUAGAUCGAACUCAAAGAGCGAUUUCAACAAAAGAAUGCUCCAAGGAUCUUCCAGGACAUGCUGCUGAUAGAUGCUACAAAAUCCAUGAAUAUCCACCAAGUUAAGUCUAAACAACAACGCUCUAGUAACAAAAAUCCAAAUACAUCCACCAAUAAUGUGAACUCUGUUACUACUCAGUCCAAUGAAAAUCAGUGUCCAUAUACAACUAUCGUUCCCGUGAUGAAUAGUACAACAAAUCCAGCAGAGGCUUUGUUGCAAUGUUAGAAUUUCCUUAAUCAACUCCAGUCUCGACUGCAUCCUCCUUUCAUAUAGCAAGUAAUUUCUUCAAAUUCUUAUUGGAUUGUUGAUUAUGCGUCUACACACAUAUGUUGUUCUAAAGUACAUUUUACUUCCAUUUCAUGAUUGUAAUGUUAAUGAAUAAUGAUCCUAAUAGUACUCAGCCUGAUGCAAUUGACAGUACUAAUCAACCUCAUAGAAGUGACAGAACUCAUAGUUCUCCUCCGAACAGUGAAAAAUUUACUCAUGAGACUGUACCCGAACUAUGUGAAUCAUCACAUAGUCAACAGCAAGAACCAAGUGAAAAAGUUAAUGAAGAGGUUCAAGCGUCCACUAUUUAGCCAAGUCCUGUUGAAAAUCUCCAAUUAAGGUCUACAAGACUCAACAAAUCGCCUUCACAUUUGCAAGCUCAUCAUUGCAAUCUACUGACUAUGGAUCCUUUUAACACAACACUCAAUAAGAUAUACUAUUGACAAAUAUGUUUCAUACCAGGAGUUGUCAUCAUCAUACAACACUUCACACUUCACACUUCAAGUCUCAGCUCAACAAGAACCUAAUUUCUAUCAUGAAGCUAUCAUCCAUGAACAUUGGCGACAAGCUAUGAGAGCUGAACUAAAAGCAAUGGAGUCAAAUCAAACUUGGAGUACAGUGCCAUUACCAAGUGGUGAGAACACGGUUGUCCAUGGAUUUACAAGAUCAAACAUAAAGCAGAUGGAUCCAUAGAGAGAUACAAGGCGCGUCUUGUUGCAAAAGGAUAAACACAACAGAACGGGCUUGACUACUUUGAAACUCUCUCCAGUUGCAAAAAUGGUCACAGUUAAAACUUUGUUAACUAUGGUUGUUUCAAAACAUUGGCCAUUAGUUCCAUUGGAUGUAAAAAAUGCCUUCUUACAUGGAGGUCCCUUUGAGAAAGUAUAUAUGGAUAUGCUUCCAGGCUACAAGCCAUGUGCUACAUUUCAGGGGAAGAAAAUGGUUUGUAAACUUUAUAAGUCCAUUCUAUGGCUUACAACAAGCCUUCAAACAAUGGUUUGCCAAAUCUCAAUGUUUGUUGUUUUGUUGGGAUUUCAACAAUCCAAAGUUGAUUAUUCUUUGUUUGUCAAAGGUAAAGGUGAUGAUUUCAUAGCUCUCCUUGUCUAUGUCGAUGACAUAAUAAUAACCGAAGCUAAUGACACUCACAUUCAAGAAUUAAAAAUAGCUCUUAAUGAAAGAUUUCACCUUAAAGAUUUGGGCUCUCUUAUAUUCUUCCUUGGUCUUGAACUUGCUGGAUCUUCCUCCAGUUUGUUUUAAUCACAGACAUUAUGCUAUGCACCUACUUGAAGAUGCUGGACUUUUAGGUGCAAAGCCAACAUCAAUUCCAAUGGAUCCUUCACUAAAGUUAGUUGCUUCAGACAAGGAUAUUCUCCAUGACCAAACAGCAUAUCGAAGAGAGUAAUUGGCGACCAGACAUCACCUUUACAGCCCACAAACUUAGUCAAUUCAAGGCAAAACCAACUAAAGCUCAUAUGACUCAAACUAUUUGCUGAGAUAUAUAAAAGGAUCUCCUAAAAAAGGGAUUUUUUUGUCCAAAACUCAAGAUUUCUCUAUGCGAGCCUCUUAAAUCACCAAUUCAACCCAAAAGCUUAAGCUGAUGGGUGAAGGAAAAAUUAAUAGAAUAUCUAACAUCCCCAUCACUUGUGGGCUAGAAAUAUAAAGAAAGACCCAAACAAGUAGAAAUCAAUAUUAAAUGGGGAGGAAACAACAAUGUAGGGACUUGAACACAGGACCUCUUGGACCACCUGCUUUUGAUACCAUCUCAAAUCACCAAUUCAACCCAAAAGCUAAAGUUGAUGGGUGAAGGCAAAUUUAGUAGAAUAUCUAACAUUGUUGAUGCCAACUGAGGAUCUUGUUUAGAUAUACCCACUGCUCUAUCACAGGAUUUUGUGUCUUCCUUGGAAAUUCAUUGAUAUCAUGAAAAUCCAAGAAACAACAUACUGUUUCUCGAUCAUGAGCAAAUGCGGAAUACUGUGCAUUAGCCACGGUGUCAUGUGAACAUUGUGAAGUGGUAUCAAGUAUGGCUUAAAAGUCUACUUCACGAACUUCAAAUUCAAGUACCAUCCCCAGCUCUUGUUUUUUGUGAUAAUCAAGCUGCAAUUUAUAUUGUUGAUAAUCCUACAUUUCAUGAAAGGACUAAACACAUCGAGCUUGAUUGUCAUUUUGUUUGAGACAGCAUUAUGGAUGGUUUGUUAAAGUUGUUGCCCAGUCGCUCCUCGAAUCAACUAGCAGACAUACUUACUAAACCUCUUCUAGCAACAUUUUUUCCCUCUAUUAAGCAAGAUGGGUGUUAAGGACAUAUUUUUCCCAUCUUGAGGAGGAGUAAUAGAAGUUUAAUUAAUUAAGAGGUUAUUUUUAGUUGGUCUGUUAGAAGUUGUUAUUAAAUUUGUUAUUAUUUUAACAGUUUAUUCACUUUCUUCACUUGUGUAUAAAUACCAUUAGGCAACACCAUUAAUAAAGUAAGAAAGUCUUAAUAUUACAUUUCUUCUAAUAAAAAACGAAAGGAUGUUUUUUUAUAUUUUUUUCAUCUCAUAGAAAAAUUGAGAUAUUUCAAACCUCUAAACCAACGCAGAAGGGGAGCUCAGCUUGUUUGUUCUGCACAUCAUUGGAUGAAUCUUUCUUUUCUAAGUAGACAGAGUAACCAACGCAAGCAUACUUGAAAUCUGUAAGACUGCGUCCCUCUUUUGAAGCUUCCAACUCAGUUUCUCCCACUAUGUAGUUUGGUACUGCUUAGAAAAAUUAAUGAUUACUGUAUAUCCCGUAAAACUUUAUUGUCAAUAUGCUUCACAUCAGAACAGGAGUGAUUUACAAAAGUAAAAGAACUAUAUAUAUUGAAGGGAAGCUAACAGUCUAGCACAAUUUUUCAAUAGUCGAUAUAAUGUCGGUAACUAGAUAGAUUCCAAAGCAAUUCCUCUACAAGAUCCUUUUCAACAUGUGGAUAAUCCUAGAUACAACUCAUCGCAAACUCAAAUGAAUGACGUGAGCGUGUCCGCUCAACACUGCUAGAGCAACUAGGGAGAUAUUUAUGACACCAAAUCAUCCAAAUUCUGAACUUUUUUGUUUUUAAUGAGAAACCUGGGAGUAUAUUCAGACAAAGAAAAGAAAACGACCUAGGGGCAGGAGAUGGGAUCCACACCCAAGGAGGCCAAAUACCAAAGCCUUUUGAAUUGUUAGUGAUCAACCACAUAAGAUAAUAAAAAAAAUCUUGUUGCUGUGAUAAAAAUAAAUAAAUAAAAUAAAAAGAUAAUUACAAAAUAAAUGUGCAAAUUGCUGUGACACCACCGAGGGCAAUGAGGUGUUCAUUGCUAAAAAAAAGACCCAAAAGUGGAGAUCUUAUUUUCAAACAAUCGCUGGUUUCUCUCUAACAAACUUUGCAUUUUUUUCUAAUCAGCAGUCCCACAACUUAGCCCUGACAACAAAUCCCCACAACACCUAGCAUGCGUUGUUAGCCGCCAGCCAUUUAGAACACUUUCAUUUGUUACCAAAUUGUAUUGAAAAUACAUCUUGACUUAAGGGCAAUAAAUCAGAUAACAUUUGGUACAGAAAUCUCAUUCGAUCAUACUGUUUUUUACCAAACAAUACGCACAUUGGCAGUGGUAAAACGCAAAGGUCCUUUUCUACCUCAAUAUUCCAUCCCUACAAUCAUUGAAUUCACAAAACUACCAUAUCCAGAUACGCUAUAGACACCACAAAUGUUCUGGGUUUUAUUUUGCUGUAACAUUUUUUAAGUUUAACUACUAGUGUCCAAACCAGUUUAAAUGCAUUGCGCAACUUUGACUAAUCCCACAUGAUAUAUUAAGAUCAUCUUAGGGAAAUAAUGAUAAAUAUUUAGACCAAGAGAUUUCUUGAUGUUUGUGUGGUUAAAUAUCACAUUUCUAUGGCAGCUACAGUAUAUCUCUGGAAGUGGCUUGAAUUCUGCUGAUUUCUUUUUCAUGAGUACUCCUAAUUUCUCUCAUACUUUCCAACUUCUAAGUGAACUAACAUAGCUCAUUCUACCCACUCUUUGUUCAGCUAAUAGGCUCUUCUUUUCUUGCGUGUUCAUAGUACCAACACCAACCAGCAACCAUGCUUAGCCCUUCUUCUGCAAGUGUAGUUCAUUCCUCACUUCAAUCCCAAAAGAUUCCUACUCCGUAGGAUAAUGUUCACAAAUUUUCUCAGGUGUCUGUUCAUUCAAAAUACACAGGUUGCUUCUUAAUAACUUGAUUCAUGACACAUUUGCCCUCCUCUUUCAUCUAUCUAACAUUUUCUCUACUGUCUGGAUUUUGAUAUUCAGAAAUGGGGCUUCUUUGAUCCAUUUGCUCUCCUCUUUAUGGCAGCGUGACCAAAACAACCUCAUUUCAGCGACCCCCCUCACCCAAAAUCUUGUCAAAAAGGAGAGGACAAAAGGCAUCUUCAACGGCAUUUGGAAGAGCAAAUACCCAAAAUAAAAUAUCAAGUUCUACUUUUAGGAACUUAAUCACUCGAGCAUAAACAUUGGCGUUCCCUGGGAUGGUGUUCCCUUUCCAAGAAAGAGUCAAAAUCAUUCCUCACUUGCAUGUAUACCAUCAAUCUUUAAACUUCCAUCCUCUCCACUUUCAAGUAGAAAAUUGGUGCUUGAAAUCCUCAUUGACAAUCCUUACUAUAAUCAUGAAAAGAAAAGAAACCCUUUAGCUUACACUUAAGAUCUUCCGAAUUGCCAUUCUCUUGUUUCAUAGAAUUAUGCACAACCACCAUAGUCAUAGAGAAAACACCAAACACAGGUGAGUCGAUGCAUGUGGGAAAAUAACACCAGGCUCCUUGAGUUUCAAGAAGCGACCAUUGCAGAACCCAAAAUAAGAGAUAAAAAACAACAAUAUACAAUAACACAUAACAAAAUAAAAAAGUAAUCAACACCCAGAUGAUAAAAAAUGAAAACGAAUACGAUUCUGAACCAUUUACCCACUAAUCAAAUUCAAUCUGAAGCGAAGCAUGAAAGAAGCAAAGAGAAAUGGGAGAGGUACCUUGGUCGAGAGUUUUGGACAAUCCAAUGCAAGUGGGUGUCUUAGAUUUGGAUUUUUGAAGUGAAGAGUAAUAGAGGCAGCCCUUACAAGACUUGCCUUUCGAAUCUUUAACCCCAUUAGAGGUAAGAUUAGGUGCUUGAUUUUGAACUCCAUCUGAUUCAUCCAUCUCGAGGUUCUUGAUGACUUUCUCUGGCUAUGAACAUCAAAUACAGAUACAAUAGAAUAAGAAUUACUGGCGCAAAGGGUUCGUCCCCAAAAUCUCUCUCCCUCUCUCAAAUACUAGGCUAUUAGACUUGGAUGAAUAACACUAUAAUGGAAGGUUUUGUUUUUUGUUUUUUCUUCUUUUUGUGACAGUGGAUUAGUAUUUAGUAUAAAAUUUUGGGGUAUUGCUUUUUCUUUCUUUCUUCUUCCUCUUUUUAACAAUAGAGGGGAUGAAUUUGAGGCUAAAAUGCUAUAUUCGUAUUGGUUUCAUUCUAUGUAUAGGUCCUUGAAAUUUAGUAUUGGUAUUUUCCCAUCGAUAUUAAAUUUAGUCUCUCUUUUUUUUAUUUGUUUAAACAAAAUAAUCGAUAUGUAAGAUUGAAAUUGAAAUAUAAGUUUGUUGAUUUUGAUAGAGUUGUGUAUCUUCGUUUGAAUUGUUUCAUCGAAUUCAUUAACUUGAUCAAACUAGAUAUUGAUGUUUGGGUCUAGUGCAAUUGAACUAAAAAAUAUACCAAACCCAAACACGUUUAGAACUAUGAUGUAAACUCUAUGAACAAGAACCUUGAGAUUGAAAGCCAUAGACUAAAACUUCCAAAAUUUAAAGGAUAUCAAAUUCUAAAGACUAAAACUUUCAAGUUUUGAAUAUUAUAAAUAUUUUCUAAGAUUCAAUUUGAAGGGCACCCCACUCCCUCAAACCAAGUCGAAAAUGAAAAUUGACUAAACAUCUCUAACACGGGAUAACAAAACUUGAACUUAAUAUUCAAACAAUAUGUUUAAAUUUAACAUGUCUAUCAUAAACUUUAGUAUGUGCCUACACAAAUAUAAAAUAUAAUAAUUUAUGAAGUAAAAAAUUUCUUUACAAACAAUAAAACCAAACAAGUUAAAAGAUAUUACAUCAUAACACAUUGGGUGAUUGGUGAACCAUUUGAGAAAUUGAGACUCACGUUUUUUUAGAGUUGCAUGCACUUCUUAGUGAACUAACACAAUGUGGUUACGACCAAUAUGAGAGAAUGAGACAAUUCUCAUUUCAUUGCCUAUAAUUUUUGCAUAAUCUAUAAACAACACUUUAGAAAUAUGAACGGUUGCGUAAUUCAAUAGUUCAACUAUCCUUGAAUAAUCAAAUUCAACUAGGAUAUUUGAUAGAUUGAGUGAUAGAAAUACUUUUAAGAACAAAUUCAAUCAUAUACUUUGUUAUGGAUAACAUAAACAAGUAAAAAAGAAUUAUCGUAGACAAAGAAAAAAAUUAUUUACAAAAUAUAGAAAAGAAAAGAUUUUAGGAAUUUAAUGGAUUUUGAUAAAUUUUGUAAAUAGUUUCAAUAUUCUCUUAUUCUUUAAAAUGAAAAGAAAAAAACUAUUUUGUAGAGAAAUUAAAAAAAAAAAAAAAAAGUAUAAAUUAGUCGUAAUAGUCUAAUAAAUCGUAUAAGUUGAAAAAUAAGAAAAUGAAAAAGAUGAGUUUAGGGGCAAAAUAAACCGUAUAAAAUGAAAGGGCGAAAAGCGAAAGAGGGUGCAUUAGUAAUUUCACAUGUUCUAGGGUUUCCACAAAUCUUCUACUUAAACUCCUUCCAAUCCCCUCUUCCCUUCAAAUCCCCAACCUCAGCGCUUCCCCACGCUCUCCAUCUAUUACAUCUUUCCACCAGUUUUCUUACUUUUAGGGUUAGGGUCAGGAUUACUGGCCUGCUUCAUACUUCUGAUUCUCAUGUUCUCCUCCGGCCGAUGAUUUAGAAAUUUUGUCCGUACCAUCUGAGAAGUAUUUCGAUGGAGUACACAAUCAAUCUUUAUGUUCUGAGGCCUUUUCCUUGUUUGUUUUUCCCUCAAUCUUAUUUCGUAAAUUUUCUUUGUUUUUUUUAAUCGUAAGGCAAUAAAUUAGAGUCUCUGAUGCGCUUCUAAUCUUUCCGUAGCGUUUUCAGCGCUGUACGUUGCCGACAUCGAUCUUUGAGAGAUGAGAUUCUGGCAUUUGCUUCCUUCAUGAAGUUUAUGCAUUCAGAUUUUCUCACAUUUUGAUUCUAUUUCUCUUUUCUCUUUUAUCCCAUUAUGAUUUUAUCAUUUCUUGAAGAUUAUAUUAUUCGUGAUGUUUAGUUCUCCAUAUUUGUUUGAUUAGGAUGAUAGAUUUGGUAAGGAGUCUAUGAUGAUAAACCUUAAGGCUUGUUUCUCAAAACAUUCGCAGUGGCCGCCUGAGAGCUUUCGCCUUCGCCAGGCUUGAGAGCUUCUGCUGUUUUAUCCUUCCUUGGAUGUCUGAGACUCUGAUUAACAUUUCUUCAAUGUUCUCCAUAAUCUUAAUAUUACUUUAUGAUCCAAUCUUAGUUUUCGAAUUCUCCCUUGGCACUAGUUUACGUUGAUAUUCAUUGUUCAAUUGUUGGAUCUGUUCUAAAUUUAUGUUAUAAUUUGAUUUCCGUUUACUGUUUGAGUACCAUAGGAUUUUUGGGUCUUCUGAUAUCCACUGCCAUUGGGAAAUCAUGGAACUGUUGGAUUUGUUCAUGGCUUAUCUUAAAUCUCCGUUUUCAUUGUGCUUGGAUUAUAAUUGUUGGGUUUGAAUUUCCAUAUCUUUUGUUUCGAUAACAAUGAUGAUAUCUUGAAGGCUUGUUUCUCAAAACAUUCGCAGUGGCCGCCUAAGAGCUUUCGCCUUCGCCAGGCUUGAGAGCUAAUGCUGUUUUAAUCCUUCCUUGGAUGUCUGAGUUUUCAUGAAAUCCUUUUUUAUUUUACUCAACCAAAUCGUUUUUUUAUUGUUGAUGAUGACACAUUUCUCUUUGGUUGCUUCUUCCGCAGCUCCUGUCUUAAAGUACUCGCCUUUUGUAGGCUUGAGAGCUUAAUGCUGCCUUCUUGUAAUGUCUGAAACCAAUUGUUUCCUAUUUUUUGAUCCUGUACAUAAUUGAAUUAUCAAUCUUUGAGGUUCGUUAUGAAUAGAAAGAGGAGUUUACUUGUUUAUAAGUUGUGAAUUUAUGAAAUUUUGUUUGGGGUUGAUGGAGACAUGACUUUCCCCAAGGAUUAAAUAUGCAUUUUGGUUGUGAAUGCAUGAUUUAAAACCCUCCUUGAGCUCACAUCCUCAGCCAAAAAAUCAAAAGUAAACGAACAAUCAAGUAUCAAAUAUAAAAACAGUCAUGAAAUUGUUGAUAAUAAAAGAGCUUUUGUUUUUGGCUUGGAUUACAAGAGCCGCUGAAGAUCAGAGUAUACGUACUAGCUCAAGCCAACAAGGAAAUCGAAUGUAAAACUAUAUUGAGACUCAAGGAAAGAAAAUGUUUGACGGACCCUAUAAUGUGGGGAAGAGAAUCAACAGAUAAGGCAGCUCUCUAUAAAAGACUGGAAAAGAAGAGGAUGUUGAUGGAGAUCAAGAAUAUUAAAUUUAUAUAUAAAAAAUAAUAAUGUGUGAUCCCAAAGAUAAUAUACAAAUAAGGGUAAGCAAAUCUGAAAUUAAUGAUAUAAAGUUAUUUUGAUACAAAACCUAAUAAUACUGUAAUACUCCAAAAAGGUAUUGUAAAGAUAUGGCAUUUGGCUAGUACACUCUUACAAAUUUGAGCAUUCAAGUUUUAAAAGUGUCGAAGAUGAUGAUUUGAAAUGAAAUUUGAAGAAUUUCUACAUCUUUCUCCAGAUCUUGUUUAUAACAAUUUCCAAACAUAACAGUUACCAUGGAUUGAAGGGUUAACCACUUUUUGUCAAGCUUGAAAAUAGAAUGGAUUCACAUAUACUUUUUAUCAAGCUUGAAACAUGGAGUGGAAGCUCACAUAUCAUAUCAAGAUUGUCAUGUUGACUGGUUUCAACAUAGACAACUUCUUCAAGUUCUUUAUUUGUAACUUUUGUUUGUUUUUAAACUAAGAUGAAAUAGUCUUAAUAAAAUUAAUUGUGAUGGAUGUUCAAGAUGUCUUGAGUGAUUUGCUUAGUUUUUGAUGAAUAUAAAUAUGUAAAAGAUAUAUAGUAUUAGAAAGAAAAAAAAUUACUAACUAAAUCGCAAUUUUUAAAGAUGAAUGAAAAAGAUUUAAUAAAAUAAUUGUAAUCACAUACCGUAAACCAUUUGCUAUAAUUUUGAAGAAUUUUACUCUUUUUUUUUUUUUUUUUUUUGGACACAUUUUCAAACCAAAACCCUAAAAUUUUGCUAUUUAUACCUAAUUUAUCUGUCUAUUGUUGAAGGCCCAAAAAGAGCUCAACUCUGAUUAUGAUUUUGGGCUUAGCCCAUUGACUUAAAUUAGGAAGGCCCAGACGGCCCGCACCAAUAGAAUCCGUUUGAAGUUUGGGCACUGACCGGCCCACUAACUGUCAUUUUCUUCCCUAAAAAAAAGAAAAGAAAAAGGAAAUAUUAUUAAACAUUUUUCUUUCACUAAAAUUAAAAUAAAGAUUUGUAUUGUUUGGUUAAUAUAGUACUCUAAUUUAAAACACAAAUAACAUAAUUAAACUAUCUAUAGCGUGUUUGGCAAUUUACUUUGUUAUUUAAAAUAAUUUUCUAACUUGAAAAUGUAUUUAAUUUUUUUGUUGAGAAAAUAAUAAAUCAUUUUUUAAUUUUGAAGUUGUAUUACAAAUAUCGAACUAAUAAAAAAAAUUAUCAAAAUAGUUUUUGUUCGUAUUCAAUGCGAAACUAUAUAUUCUAAAAUUUAACUUUCCUUAAAUGAUGAAGAUCAAAUUUACAAUUUAAGGAGAAAAAGAUAGUUUUGAUAGAUGAAAUAGUAGAAUAGGAAAAGCACACAUUUUUAGGCAGGAAACAAAAAAAAAAGAAAGAGAGAAUGAAUGAUGAAUAUAAUGUUUAUUUAUGAAAUGUUAUGGAGUGAAGCCCAUUUCCCUUUUCCAUUCAAUUCUCUAUCAAAUCAAAACUUCCAAUGACUUUAGGAUUUCCAUUGAAAUUGGUGCACCUAACCUAUCUUAUCUUUACCCUAUACAUACAUACCCUACAUUUUAUAUACAUGUACAUAUAUAAAUAUAUAAUAAAUUUAUUAUGAUUUAGAAGGUCUCCUUCAUUUUCUAACAUUCAAGUUGAAAUAUUUUGAACUUAACGCAUUUUGGGUUAAACUGUCGUAGUAUAUCUUAUAGUUAGUCUUAAUACUCGUUUUGGGUUUAAAGAGUAACAUGCAUGGAUGAACUACACGGUUAUAAAUAAAACUCAAAAAACUAAGUUGUUACGUCUAUAAGAAAAAGUCCGAAACCAAAAGUGUUUUUUUUCAAAUAAUUUAAUUAGUGGAUGAGUUUUGAUAAUUAGUGUUUACUAAUUUCAUUAAUUAUUAUCUACCCUAGUUUAUUAGUCUGACCUAGUGUGACUUGUGUUACAUAAUGUUAAAUAAUUGUUUUGUAGAAACUAAAUAAUCACAAUUAUCACUACGCAAAAGAUAGGUUUGAAUGAUAGUUUAAUAAUUAAAUUUAUGAUUUAAACUUUGAAUUGAACGUUUUAUUUUAUUAUUUUAAAUGAGACAAUAUUAAAUAAUUCUAUACUUAUCAAUAAAAAAAAUUUGUUCAUUAAACGAAUAUUAAACGACGUAAUGUUUUCAUGGCAAAACAACUCAAAUCGAACUAAACACACCUUCUAACUCAAAUACAAAAAGUUCAAUAAAUGUAAUAACAAAUAAAACAUUUAGUGUAGUGGAGAUGAUUAGUGAGUAUGGUGAAACGAUUUUAUUUAAUUGUAAAAUUUUUCAUAAAACUAUUAGAAGAAUCAAAUUGGUCGUUAUUUUUGUGCGCUCAUUGCCUCAAUUCAUAAUCAAAUCAAACCAAACCAAAUGAGUCUUUUUAGGGACAAUACAAAUUUGUAUCAUUGAAUUGAUGUACCAUAAUUCUUGAUGGAAUAGAAAACUCCCAUGUGGGCAUUGAUCGCUCAUCCGACCCACUUCUCUAGCACAUACGAUUUGUUAGUGCUAAUAUAUGUAAAAAUUUUGCGUAAGUGUAGAGCCAAGUUGAGUAUAAUUUGAUACCCAAGUUUGUACAUGGAGUACGUAUUUAUCUCAGUUAAGCACAUAAAGAAUUACUUACCUAUUUAAGUAGUCAGUACAAGCCAAUUUCUAAGGUGCUUAAGAUUGUAGAGUGCCAACGACAAGCUUGACUCAGUCAUUUCUCCUUUGAUAGACAUCUACAAGCUCGACUAGUCGACUCAAAACUCGAGGGUUUGACUUUUUAUCUAAAAAGAAUUAACGAAAUUGGUCGUUUCUUUGAUGCACCUAUUGCUUCCAUUCACAAUCAAAUCAAACCAAACAAAAAGGAGUGUUUUAAGGGUUAACACAACCUAGCAUGCAUUGAAUUGAUGGCAUCAUAUUCUAAAUCAUUUAAAUUAUACCUUUUGUCAAUAUUGUCUUCAUUUGUUCAUCUCCUCGACAACCUCCCAUUUAAUAGACAAUAUUUGUACUUCCUCAAACAACACCACACAUUGAUGUUUCAUAAUACUCAACACAACUUAUCAAAAUUAACAAUAAUUUUAUACAUUAAUUCAAAUACUUGGACUCUAUCCUAAACACACAUUAACCCAUCAUAUAAUUACAACUCAUAAACUUAAUUAUGUCAUUCAUAAUUGCAACCCAUUAAGCACAUUAACCACAUGUUAGAAGAUCAUUCAAGAAAGACAGUGAAAAGAAAAAUCAUAGAUUGAAUAAUGUAUAUUAUCCUCUUUAUCUUUUUUUAGAAAGAAUGAAUAAUAAUGAAUAAAGGGGGUAUAGAGAUGAAAUUAAAACGUAGUAGAAUAGAAUAAUAAAGAAAGUGUGUGUUAUAAGUGAAUAAAAGGAAAUUGGGAGUGUGUUAAGGAAGGAGGAGAUUUUUUUUUUUUAAAAAAAGAAUGGAAUUUAUAAAGAUAACUUGAGAAUAGAGGAAAAUAUAAUAUAAUGUGUACAAGUGAUUGCCCUAACUUUAUCUUCUCUAUUUCUAAACCAUUUCACACCUUUAAUAAAAAAAAGCUUCCAUUUCCUAUAUCUAAUUUCAAUUCAACCUAAUAAUCAUAUUUUCUAUUUUAUUUCAUGAAAUUAAAUUUACUAAAUUUAAGAUUUAUUGAAAAUAGAAAUAUUUUAAUAUAAUUAUUAUUAUGAUUACUAUUAUUUAUAUUGAAGCAUAGAAGGAAAUUAAAAAAGAAAAAAGUAAUGGGAUCAUGUAACCGCCCAACUGCCAUAACAGUCUGAAAUUACAUCAUCAUCUUAUCUCAAAGGGAAAAACGAAAAGACCAUUCAAUCUCUUACAACUUCACCUUUACUCUUAAUUCAUUCCCUUUUUUUAUUAUUAUUACUUUCUUAAUUUUUCACUCAAUUUUGUUUCUUACUUUCAAAGUUUUGUUUUAGAAUUUGAGUUCCUCUCAAUUUUAUGUACUUCGUAUAACAUUAUAUAUAAGAACGGUCAUCCAAACUCCUCUAAAUUUAGGUUCACAUCCAUUCAUUUUUGUUAAAUUUAUGAUAGCCAUUAUAAGUUUGUAGUUAUGCAUGUAGACCAUAUGGAAGAGUAUAAAUGUACUACUUUAUUAACUUUAUAGAUAAGCGUGUACAAGAGAUAAAAUUGUUUGUAAUUUAAGUCAUAUCCUUCUUUACUAUUAGCUUAAUCCUUGUUUUUUUUUUUGUAAUAAUCUCGUUCUAUAUACAUUUAUUUUAACAACAAAAGUGAAGUGAAGGUUUGAACCUCAUUCGUUCAUUGAGAAAACUUAGAAAUGUUGUAUUUUUCAUAUAACUUUUUUUUUAAAUUAUUAUUAUUAUAUACAUGUAUUGGCUUCAAUCCGAGAGAAAACAAUAUAUAUCUUUUAAAAAAUAAAUAAAAGUUUGUCACUUGAUAAAUUCUUAUAUAAUUGACUAGGUUGUAUAAAAAAGUUAGGUGCAACCCAACGAACAACAAAAUAUAUUAUUAUAUAUCAAGAAAAAGAUAAGUUUAAUUUUUAAGUCAUUUUUUAAAAAAAGAAAAGUAUUUGAAAAUUGAAAGGAAAAGAAAUAUGUAGAUAAAUGUCAAUUUAUUAUUUCCUUUUCUUAAAACUGUUUUGAAAACAAUAAAAAAAUGAUUUAGUUUUGAAAGGAAAACAUUUAUUUACUUAUAAAAAAUGAUGUUUUUUACCCCAUAAAAUGUUUAUAAAUAUAACAAAGUUUUAUAGGAAGAAUAUCGGAUGCAUCUAUGUAGAAAAUAAUUUUUAAACUUGUUUUAUUUUUAAAAUAUUUUAUGUGAAUAUCUUUACUUUUAUCAAUUUUAAUAUUUAUAAUAAAUUUCUUUAAAUAAUCAUAUCAAGAAAUGGGUAUUAUUUAGUGAUAAAAUAUAGAAAGAAAGGGAACACACAUAUCUAAAACAUUGAAUAAUAAAUAAAGAGCACACGAUGAACCAUGGUAGAAAUUUAAUUUUAAUGAAUAUUCCUCAAUUUAGAGAAUUCCAAACUUCAAUAAAUGACGUUUGAUUUUGAUUUUUUAUUUUUUUAUUCUUUUGGGAAAGCAAAAUUAAAAUUUUCAAUUACAAUGAAUCUAUUCCCAUUUAAAUACUCAAUAAAUAAAUAAAUACUAUCAAAUAAACAAAUAAACAAAUAAUAAUAACUAUUUAUCUCAAUAUAUUCCUUCAAACUUUUCUUCCUUAAAACUCCGACGAUAAUUCGCCCUUUUUUCUCUCUCUUUUUAAUUGCCCAUCAUGUGCUCAUUUCUUUAUUAUAAAUUUUAGAAGAUUCUUUUUUUCUUGUUGUUUUAAAUAAAAUAAAUAAUUUAUUUUGUUAUAUUUAAUUGGAACAUUUUAUUUUAUUUGCUAUAUUUAAAAGUAAUCCAAAAUGAGUUUUUUUAUAUAAAUAAAUAACGUGUUUCUGAAAAAAAAGCCAUUAUUAUUAUUAUUACUUUGUUUAUAUGGAUAAUUGUUAAUGGCUUGAAAAUAUUAGUGAGACUCACACUUCAUUAUUAAAUGCAAUAUAAAUAAAUAAUAUCAAUGUCUUUUUCUAAAUAAUGCAAAUCAAUUGUUAUUGUGAUUUAGUUUCUCUAAAGAAAUUAAAUAAGUAAAUUUAAAAAACAUGUGAUGUGUAAAACCAAUAAUAAUAAUAAUAAUAACAACAACCAUAUACAAUUCUUCAACCUAUUAAUUAUUUAUUAUAUGAAUAAAGAAAAAAAAUAUUAAUUUAUACCUCUUGUAUCAAUUUAAAAUAUAAAUUACUAAUUUAUGUCAAUUUAACCAACAAAGUUUUAUAUAAUUUAGGCGGUCAAUUAUUACAUUUCAUUUUAAAAUAUGAGAUUUUUUAUUUUAUCAAUUUAAUACUAAAGUUAAUUUUUCUUUCAGUUCAUGUAUUAAAGUAUUUUGUAAAAUUGAAUUUGAGUUGAGAUUCCAAUCUAGGAGUUGGAUUGAUACAAAUUAUAAAUUUUACGUUAUACUUAAUAAAACUAUUAAAAUUCACGAAAAAUAAAUUGAUAUUUUUCUUAUUAUUAGUUACUAAAAAUUUCAAUGAUUAGUCUAAAGAUAUCAAAGAAUGAUGUGAAUAUUCGAAUAAUUUAAUCUUUAAAAUAAAAUAUACCUUUUCAAGUUUAACAAUAUACACGUAAUAACAUAUUCGAACUUCUAACUUUAUGAUAAUUUUUUUUACCAUGGAUGUUUAAAAUAGCCGUAAAUGAUUUGAUGUAUAUUUGAAAAGUGAUAAAAAGAGAGAGGGAGAGGAGAAAAUAUAAUAGAAAAUGGCUUUUGUAGGAAGGUAAGAAUAUUGUGUUUGCUCCAUUUGCAAUAUGGGAAUCUCCACUUGCCUCUCAACCACUCUCUUUUUUUUUCUUCCUUUAUCAUUGAUUCCAUUGCACCUUUACCCUAUAAUAAAUUCUCCCAUUUUAUUUUCUUCCUUACAUUUUCUAUAUUAUAUAUUUUUCUUCCCUAAAUUAUAGAAAGUAUUCUUUAAUUUUGUCUUCUAUUUUUAAAAAAAUACACCUAAUGAUCUUUCCAACGUCAAAAGUUUCAAUAUUCUUGUAUACGUGUUUUCGUUGUAAAUGUUUCAAAAACUAUAUUUAGAGAAGAAAUUCUUUAGAAUUUAGUACUUGAAUAAUGAUCGCCAUGUUAUUAUUUUAAGUCAUCGUUACAUCUUUAGAGUAUUAUUUCUAUCGAGUCUUUUUGAAAUAAGAGACAAAGUUGUAUUUUUCGUAACUUUUUUUCAUUUUCUUUUUUGUUGAUUAAGAUUAUAGCAUGUUUGUGAAUUAUAUUAAAAUUGUUAAAAUUACCCCCUUUUAUGUUAAAAAAUGUCAAACACCUUCUUAAUCAUUCAAAUUUAUUUAGUAUUUAAUUGAAAUUGAGUUUCAACCAUUAAGAUUAUGAGGAGCGGUCAUAUUAUGAUUAUGUAAUAUGAAGCAAAAAAAUGAAGUACUAUAGAAAAAAAACACUCAUUUAAUUAUUUAGAUGAGUAAUUUUAACAAAUACACCGUAUGUUUAAAUAAAGAGAAAAUCCCAUAAAACGCAUGAAGAUAUAGAAGUCAUGUUUUUCGUUAUACAACGCUUGUUAUGCAAAAAGUUGUUUGGUUUAGAUAAGUAUUUUUAACAGAAAUAUGUUCGUUCAAAUCUCUUCCUUUCAAAAGAGAGUCUAGUAAUGUUCUUUCUCUAAGUAACUUGUUACGGAAUAGAUUUUCGUUCGUAAGACUGGGAAAAUGUGUGAAAAACCAAUUCAAUAAUUUGUGGCAAACAACAAUACACAGUUUCUUUUUACAGCAUUAGAGAAAGAAAGAAAUUGAAAGAAAAAAAAAGUUAGAAAGGAGUUUGGUAAUUUAUAUUAUAUUCCUUUUUUGUUUUUAUCUAGGCUUAUUUUGAAUGGGUGUGUAAAAAAAAAAAAACUAAUAGAAACUAAUGGUUUAAAAAAUGUAAUUAGAAUAAAAAUGUAUUGAAAAAAUUCAUAAUGGAUAAGUGACGAAAUUAACUAUUUUAGGAAUAAAUUUAUAUUUCUUCAUCUCUUUUUAUUUUAUUUUAUUUGUAGAUAUUGUCCUUACCAACAUAAUAUAAAUUAAAAUAGUUGUAAGAAAAAAAAUAUUUGAUGAAUAUUUGUCAAAUGCAGAAAUAUUAGAUUAAAUAGAAUUGUCUAUAUUAUUAAUGUUUGAUGGAGAUUUUGUUUGUGAUAUACUGAAAAUGUCAAUUCAGUGGAUGGAUACCAAAUCAAUAGAUUUUAAUACCAUAUAGAUACAAUAUGUAUUUUCUUAUAAAAAUAAGAAAUAUGAAUUUAGAUUUGAUAAUUUGGAAAAAAUAAAUUGGAAUUAUUUUGAGAGUAGAAAAAAAGAAGAUUAUAUUGAAUAAAAAAGUGGAAUGGUGUUAAUGAGGAGAUAGGAGUAUGGUCUAAGAUUUGGUAACAGUUACAAAUUCCGAAACAUAAUGUUUUAGAGAAUAAAACACAAACCCCUCUCUUCCACUCCAUUAUUAGUUAUUUUUUUUUAUUUCUUCUUCUUCUUCCCUCUUUAUCAACAACUCAGGGACCCACACUCCCAAUUCAAUUUAAAUUAACUUUUAAUUAAUAUUAAUAAAAAAAAUUAAAUUGGAAAUUGGCCUAAGAGAACACAUAAUUGAAGUGACGUAGUAGUUUUUUUUGAGAGUUAGAUGUUCUAAUUUGUAAUUGGAACUGAAAAUUAACGAGAUGGUGUUAUAAGUAACUAAUCCCUUUCUCAUACUUUACGUCACGUGACUUCCCUCCUCCUUCUUUCUUUCCCCCUCUGUCGGCGCUUAUUUACUCUUCCGCCACCAUCGCCACCACCACUCUCUUUCUCUCUCUUCCUCGUGACGACGCCGCCCUCAACUUCCCUACCUCUCUCUAUAAAUACCCACAAAAAGAAACAAAAGGAGAACUCCCAAAUUAAAAUCCCCCCAAUAUGAAGAACCCCAUUUUCUCUCACCGGACCAUUCUUUUCCUCAUUCUUUCAAUUCUCUUCUCCCUCCACUCUGCAUUUGCCGCUCAUGAUUACGCCGACGCCUUGUCUAAAUGUAUCUUGUUCUUCGAAGGCCAACGAUCGGGCUUCUUGCCUCAAGAUCAACGAAUGACGUGGCGUGCCAACUCCGGCCUCGGCGACGGUUGGACUUAUAAAACAGACCUCACCGGCGGCUACUACGACGCCGGAGACAAUGUUAAGUUUGGUUUUCCGAUGGCUUUCACCACCACGCUUUUGUCUUGGAGUGUCAUUGAGUUCGGCGACUUCAUGCCGCCGGCGGAGUUGAGGAAUUCGUUGGUUGCGAUUCGUUGGGCCACGGAUUAUCUCCUCAAAACGGUGUCGGAGCCUAAUCGGAUUUUUGUUCAGGUAAUGAAAAUUUCUUGCAGUAUCGGAGUCUUAGUGCGGUUAGUGGCAGUUUGGUAAAUUGGGAGAUAUUUAUGGGUAUUUCUGUUUUCGUUAUGGGAUUACUCAGCCGAAUGUGACCACGUGGAGUCUUUCCGUCUUUCUUAUUGGUCGGCGUUUUCUUUACUGGGCCCCGCUACGUCCCACCUAAAUUUUCCUUUUUCUUUCCUUUUCACUAUUUAUUGGGAAAACUUAAUCUAAUUACCAAUACUAAAAUAUAAUUUUUCUGUUUGCUACAAAUACCAUUUUGCCCUUUCUACUAUAUUUCCUCCUCUUAUUUUGUGCUUUACCUCUUGCCUUCAAUUUUCACACUCCUUUUUAGUAAGAUUUAAACGACAAUUUAUUUUCAUUUUUCUUCCCAUUUUAUAAUUUUCUCUUCACUUAAUUCAAUCGACAUGCAUAAACUAACCAUACCUUCUAAACAUCGAUUUUAAAAUAACUUACAUAUCUUAACUUUCAAAUCCAAUAUCUUUUUUCAUAAUAAUAACUUUUUUUGUUUGCAUUAAAAUCAAAUAUGUCUUUUUGUCCUAGAGGUAACGAUUGAUCUUCCAUUCUUACCACUGAGUAUAAAGUACUCCACACAUCUAGAUGUUUAAUUACACGAUGUCAGUGACAAUUUUUUUUUUCUUUAUGUAAUUUGAAUGUGAUGCAUGCAGAUGGGGUAUAAUAUGAAUGUACCGAAAUAUGUUAAUCUUAAAAAUAUAUGUUGAGAAGAACAAAAAAAUGAGUGGCCUGGAAGUAAAGUGAAAGGACCCCAGUUGAAUUCCGUGAAUGAUGAAGGAGUUAGGACCCAAAGAAAGAGACUGUCCUAACCGUACAUCAUGUUCCCUACUAUUUAAGGGCAUAUGACCCCCAACCAACCCAUCUCUCAUCAAUGCCUCUCUCUUCCGCAUUUUUUUAGUUUUACUUUUUACGUUCUAAUUACCACUAAUUUUGUGAUUUAACUUAAAGGUGGGUGAUCCGAGUGCGGACCAUUCUUGUUGGGAGAGACCCGAGGACAUGGACACGACCAGAACCGUGUAUGCCGUGGACGCACCAGGGACUGCUUCAGAUGUGGCGGGGGAGACUGCAGCAGCAUUAGCUGCUGCGUCGAUGGCGUUCCGGUCGUCGAACCCAGAGUAUGCAGAGACGUUGCUACGAAAUGGAAUUAAGGCAUUCGAGUUGGCUGAUACCUAUAGAGGAGCUUAUAGUGAUAAUGCUAAUAUUAGAGACGGUGUUUGUCCUUUCUACUGCGAUUUUGAUGGCUAUCAGGUUCGACAAUUUAAUUAUACUUUGAAAUGUAGAUUAAAUUUCUUUUUUUUUUCUUUUAUAAAAAAAGAAAUUUUCUUUUAAUAACAAAAUUAAAUAGAAUAAAAAAAUUAUUAUUUGUAUUUAGAUGCACCCGUGAUGGCAUAAUUUUGUCCUGUUCACCAGACAAUUUGACUUGUUUUUUCUUUUCUUUUCUUUUUCUUAUUUUGUCAUUUAUGGACUAAAUAGGAAAAAGUAGAAGAAAAAAUUAGCACUACUUUCUCACGUAUUUACAUAAUUAUUUUGUUGGAUGAGAAAACUUAAUAAAUCAAAAUUGUUUUGUUAUCACAAAAGAAAGAAAAGUUUAGUUGCCACCAUGCAUACACAAACACAUACAAAAGUAUUUGAAUUAUAUGGAUGUGGGACAGGAUGAGCUACUAUGGGGAGCAGCUUGGCUAAGAAGGGCGAGUCAAAAUGAGUCGUAUUUGAAUUAUAUUCAAGACAAUGGUAAAACUCUUGGUGCUGAAGAUAGCUACAAUGAGUUUGGAUGGGACAACAAGCAUGCUGGUCUUAACGUUCUCGUCUCUAAGGUAUUUUUUCUUUCUUUUAAUCUUAAUCUUUCUUAAAUGACAUUGUUUAUCCAAAAACGUCGUCCUUUUCUGUUCUCAGGAAGCACUUGAAGGAAACAUAUUCACACUCCAAUCAUACAGAGCCUCGGCAGAUAAUUUCAUGUGCACAUUAAUUCCGGAGUCUUCUUCUUCCCACAUCCAAUACACUCCCGGCGGCCUCAUCUACAAGCCCGGCGGCAGCAACCUCCAACACGCCACCUCCAUAACCUUCCUCCUCCUCGCCUACGCUAACUACCUCGAACGCACUUCCUCCACCGUCAACUGCGGCAACGUCGUCGUCGGUCCCGCCACCCUCCGCCGCCAAGCCAAACAACAAGUCGACUACAUCCUCGGCGAAAAUCCCAAGGGCAUCUCCUACAUGGUCGGCUAUGGCAACUACUUCCCUCAGCGGAUCCACCACCGCGGCUCCUCCCUUCCUUCUGUACACGACCAUCCGCAGCCGAUCGCUUGUAAGGAAGGGUCGGCGUACUUCAACUCGGCAGAUCCGAACCCUAAUGUGUUGGUUGGAGCCUUAGUUGGUGGUCCGGGGGAAGAUGAUGUGUAUGAGGAUGAUCGGGCGGAUUUUCGGAAAUCGGAGCCGACUACUUAUAUUAAUGCGCCUUUUGUUGGAGUUUUGGCGUAUUUUGCUGCGAACCCGGGAGGUUGAUUUGGAUUUUCCGGCGUCGGGGGUCGCCGGAAAAAGGAAGGAAGUUUUGUGGGGUUUCUUUUUUUUUUUUUUUUUUUUUUUUUAGUUUAAAAAAGGGAAAAGGAUGGUCUCUCAUCUUUGGUGGUUUUACGAAGAGAGUAGAGGCUUAAUUUGGUAAUUUUACUUCAAUUACCAUUGGAAUUUUAUAAUACUAAAUUUUACGUCUAAAAAAGAGUCCGCAUUCCACAAUGGAUGGGUCAAUAGCUAUGUUGUUGUGACUAUUUUUUUUCUCUUGUAUUUCCUUUACUUUUUUACUCGAGAGACUGAGUUAUAUGGAAUGUAUUAACAAAUGUUUGUGGUAGGAAUUACUAAAACAAUAAUACUAUAUGAAUCCGUGGAUUUCAACAAAAAUAAUAUUGUAGGGUUGUUUUGCAUUAAAAAUAUACAAAAUUUUAAUUUCAUCUAAUUUUAGUGGUAAUUGUAAUUAUGUUUAAAUAUUUGACUAUAUUUUUGUAUAACAUUCAAAUGGAUUAACUUAAACAAUAUUUUUCAAGUACCAAGUGGAAUUCAACAUAAAUAAGUAAAAUUCAAGCUCCCACUUUAACUCUAAAAUUAAAGAUUGUGUUUAAACAAAAAUUCCACCUCAACUAUUUUAAAAUAAAACAAGAGAGAUUAAUUUAAUGAUCUCAAGAUCCGUUGUAGUCUAGUUGGUUAGGAUACUCGGCUCUCACCCGAGAGACCCGGGUUCAAGUCCCGGCAACGGAAUCCUUUUUUGUUAUUAUUUUAUAACAAUUAGGGUUUUUGUUUUAAUUUAUAUAAGUAAGAUAUUUUUAUUUAUUUAUACCUUUUUCAGAAUAAAUGUGAAGCAUUGGAAAUUCUGCUUUGCUUUCCCUGACAAUGUUAAAGGAGGAAAAAAAAAAGUAUUAUUGAAGAUAUUAUUAAUUAUUAAAUACAGCUUUGGGAGUUGGAAAAUAUUAACUUAAAUUAGUUUUUUUUAAUAUAAUUCUUGAAUUAAUAUACACUUCAUUGGUAUGUGGCUUCAAAUUCUAUUUUUAUUUGUUUUCUCCACUCGUAACUUGUAAUAUCAUUUUAGUCAAUAUAUUUUAUUAUUCUUUUAUUUUUUUAAUGAAAAUUAUACAUUUGAAAUAUAUAAGCACUCUAAUCAAACUAAGCUAUAGUAAUUAAAAUAAUAUUUUAAUAUAUAUAUAUAUAUAUAUAUAUAUAUAUAUAUAUAUAUAUAUAUAUAAUAUCUAUAUAAUACGUCAUAUUCACGAUUUUCUUCUUUGUUGAAUAAAUCGACGAAAAUGUACCUUUAUAAAAAAGAGAAAUGUCUUAUUGAAAAAAACAAGAAGAAACGUGUACAAUAAAUAUAAUUAAGAGGUUUUUUAAGAAUAAUAUAAAAAUACAAAAAUUUAUACUUUAUAUUAGAAUAAACUCAUUAAAGUUGAUUUUGCCAUCAAAUGUAAAUAGUUUAUUGGUUGUUGUUUAACAAUUUUCCUCUAAUCAAAAUCAAAUAAAAAAUACAAUAUCGCUAUUUUGCUAUAUUUUGGAAACGGUUUUUUAAUUUUUUAUUUAAAAAUAUUUUCAAUUCAUUUUUAAUAAAAUUAAAUGGUAAAAUUUUAGAAACUUUAUUAAAAAAACGCAUUAAAGUUAAUUUUUAUUCUAAAAUUAAAAUAAAAUUUAGUAGUCUAAUGUUAUACCUCUAAAUCUUUCUAAAAUAUGUUUAGAAAGGGUUUGAUUAUUAGUAAAACAUUAAGCCCAUCCAAAGACAGCCCAUGGACCUCUACCUCAAACUCCCAUCGCUAAAAUAAAAACAAACUUGAAUGAAUUUUAAUAUAUAUAUAGAAUUGGUCUAAGUUUGAUCAAAUAGUUAGUUUAGUAAUGUAGAGAUAUUUUGAUAAUCACUUACAAUACGAAUAUUGAUCAUAUGAUGAGAGCCCUCCAUGACAUUCUUUACACAACACUUUUCCUAAUAUUGUGGAUGCAUAAAUAUUUUAAAUUCGUUUAUUUUGCUACUAAAUCUAAAGAACUACUAAUUAAAUUUAAGGAAAACAUACAAAUAAUAAUUACCCACAAGGGUAUAAUAGUCAUUUUGUUAAAAAUGAGGGACAAAAUGGGAAGUAAAGAUUUUCUCUAUUUUAUAUAUAUAGUAAGAUAAAUAAAUAAAUAAAAGGGUAAGUAAUAGCAAGAAAGAAAAAGCUAUGGAAGGUUGCCAUAAAACCACAUUAUAUGGAGAUGAAAAUUCAAUGCUUCUCUUAAAAGAUUCAUUAAUAGUAUCUUAAAAACAUAAAUGCCUUUAUUUAAGAUGAAAGCUGCAAGUUUAUGAUUAUUCUCAAGAAAGAACACCUACUUUGUUGGACUAAAAGAAUAGUUAAGAAAAUCAUAUUUCUUGACAAUGAAAUAUGAUAAUUAACUUACCAUUCUAUAUUUGAUUUAUUUAAUGGUAAAAGUAUGAUAAUUAAUUAAAUACUAUACAAUAAAAAAAACACAUUUAGAUACAUAUGUUAUGAAUGGUAGGACGUAUGGGGAUCAUUGAAAGCAACCAAAUGUAAAUGGAUCAAGGGUCAGAUCAUCUCAUAGUAAUCAACAUUAUCUAUGGAAAUUGUUCUCCAUCGAUAUUAUUGGGAGGAUGAUAUAAUUGUGUUAUAUAUAUAUAUAUAUAUAUAUAUAUAUAUAUAUAUAUAUAUAUAUAGUUGUAAAGACGAUUUAUCAUUUUUGAUUGAUGUUAAGCUCUACUCUUUUUUUGGUGUACAUUUCUCCAAUUAAAUAGUUUUUUUAUCAUUCUUAGCUGUCACGACAAUUAAUUUUGGACUUUUGUGUUACGUGAAAACAAAACUCAAAUAUUUAGGGGAUCUCCUGACCGAACUUUGUAAAUGUCGGAAGAUUCACCUAUUCCCAACGUCGUAAAGUAAAACGUUAGAAAAAGUGUCAUUCAUUCCUGACAUUUCACUUAUGGCGUCGGGAAAAAUUUAAAAUAAAAUAAUAAUAUCUCUUUCUCCGACGCCAUGAACAUUAAUGUUAGGGGUUAGUGGACCAUUUUCGACGUCUAAACGUAGACGUCAUAAAUGAAUAUCUUCGCCGACGCUUGCUUAACGGUGUCGGAAAUGGUGGGACAUUCCUGAUGUACGUUUCGCCGAUGUCCAUUUCGAUGUUGAGAAUGCCUAAUUUCUUGUAGUGUGAAAAUUUAUUGUUAAACUAUUGUGAAGUUUACUUAACAAUAAAUAUGCACUGUAACCAAAAUUAAGUUAAUUUAAAAUUUAAAAGUAUUACUGUGAAGGCAUGUGGCAACACACUAGUAUAUUAUAUAUGAAAAAAAAUUAAACCCACCUUUUAAAUUGUUUGAAUAUAUCAAAUUUUAACCUAAAUUUUUACUUUCAUCAAAUUGUACAACUAUUAUUAUCUUUUUACGAUGUGAAUGGAGUAGAGGAAUAAAACGUCAAACUUUGAGCUUGAUACUUACACUAUAUAUACCAAAUUUCUGUUUAUUUCUUGCCCCCGAGUAAAGUGUAUAAGAAAAAAUUGUGACAAUUAUUAAAGAAUUGUAACACUUAUCAAAAUUUCGAAAUUUAAGCAUAAAUUUGAUAUAAAAAUCAACAUUAUCAAGUACUUAAUGCAUAUAUUUCUUUUUGUACCAUUUUUUUUCCCUCAUCAUGUUUACAAGUGGUUAGGAAUUUGAUCGAUAAACCACACUGUACUUUUUUUUGCAAAAUCGUGCUAGCUAUCAUAUUGUUCUUUAAACGAACUUUAACACGAACCGAACAAUACCCAAAUAAUUUGUGAAGCAUUUGUGUAAAGAAACAAUGAAAUUUCGUAUGCACAAAGCAUACUCCCUCCCAUCCACACAGUACUAUUAACCACACAUAUUUGCAUCAAAACAAAUAAAACCAAAAAGGUCUAUUUGGAAAUGCAUCAGCAUAAUACAAAAAUAAAACAAAAAUCACCUCCAAAAUGAUGACGUGGCAAGAUAUCUACCGUUGUUCCAUUGUGAUCACAAAUCUCAUCAAAUCCUCUUACUGAACCAUAGCCAUUAAUCCCUUUUUUUCUUCCUCUCUUCUCAAAUCAACACAGAAUCAUAGCCUCAUAUUCUUUACAAAACCAUGAAUGUGAUAACCCUUUGUCCAAUUCCUUCUCUUUUGUUUUUUUUUUCAAUUUAAAAAAAAAUAAUUACAUAAUAAUAAGAGAAACAAAACAAAAAAAAGCUAAAAGUCCAACAAAAAAAAAUGUAGAAUUGGAAAACCAAAUCAAUCAACUAGUUUGGUUUGGCCAUAUUAGAAGAAAACCAGAACGUAUUGGUUCAUAUAGGUUUUUUCAUUAAAAAACCAACCAAUACCAAACCGAGAACCAAGUGAUAAUUAAAAAAAAGGAAAUGUAAAAAACCGAGAACCAAAGUGAUAAUAAACUAAGUCAAGUAAAACUAGUUUAGAUUCAUUUUUCAUAAAACCGGAUUGGUUUGGUUGGGUUUGGUUUUUAUGGAGUAAAAGCAUGAGGAAGAGUGAGGGGGUGCCAAGUCAGCAAAGUUAUCAUCCAGGUGGCAAAGAAAUAUUGGAAGAUGGACAAGGGCCUCAAAUUGGCAAUCUUUAAACAAACACAAAGCAACUAUAAAUACAAAGAGAAUGGCUUCACAUUUGUGGCCACGGAGGCAGCAACCAGAUCAGAGAGCGUUGGUGAAGAAACAAAAAAGAUAAGAUCUUUUUUUUGAACCUUACCUUCGUUUCUCAACACUCUGUUCAACCUCCUUCCUUCAUUUCAACUCAUCAAUGGCUUCUGCUUCUCUUCUCAAAUCCUCCCUUGUUCUCGAUAAGUUCGAGUGGGUUAAGGGCCAGUCCCUCCGCCAACCCUCCGUCUCCGUCGUCCGCUGCCACCCCACCGCCGCCCCAUCCACUCUCAUCGUCCGCGCUGGCUCUUACAAUGAUGAGUUGGUCAAAACCGCCGUAAGUAUAAUAAUAUUCUCUUUUACACUCCAUUCCUCUCUUCUUUCUCACUUCCAACUGAUGUUUUCAAAUAUCAAGACAAGUUUUGAAUACUUAAAAACACUACGGUUUUGAUAUUUUUUAUAUAAAUAAUUUGACUGCAUGAGAUUAUAAGAUAGGAAACGAUGCCUAACUUUAAAUAGAUGUUUUUCAAUAUUACUUCUAAACGUGAAAAUUAUGGUAUGAAAAUAUGGAUAGAAAAGCUAAAACAAGACCUUUCAACUUUCUAAAUUUUUGCUUGCUGAAACCCAGAGGUGAUGGAUUGUUGUAGGAAACUCUGUCAUCUCUAUGUAGCUCAAGCAGUUGUCCAGUAAACCUCUGUCAUCGAACAAUUUUAUUUUUUAAAGAAAAGAUAGAAUUCUUUGAAUCUUUUUGUGUGUCCAUUCUAUUUUGAACCCAUUUCAUUAAUGAGUUACUUUAUUGUAUUUUUCACUUUCUACUCAUGUUUCCAUAAACCAUACCAAGUUUUUAAAACUACUUUUACAUUUAUUUAUUUAUUUUGUUCUUAAAGAGACUUGAAAACUACAGGAACAAGAUGAGAAUAAAUAAAAAUAAAUUUAAAAAUCUUUACUAAAUGGAGUCUUAAUCUUUCAACUUGUGUUGUGUUGUUGCAGAAAACUGUGGCAUCUCCAGGACGUGGAAUUUUGGCCAUGGAUGAGUCAAAUGCAACUUGUGGAAAGCGUUUGGCUUCCAUUGGAUUAGAAAACACAGAGGCCAACCGUCAAGCUUACCGAACUCUUCUCGUAACUGCACCCGAACUCGGCAAGUACAUCUCCGGUGCUAUCCUCUUUGAAGAGACUCUCUACCAAUCCACUGUCGAUGGCGAGAAGAUAGUCGACGUUUUGGUCAAGCAAGGCAUUGUCCCUGGAAUCAAAGUUGACAAGGUAAGACCAUUGUCCCUAUAUAAUCCUAAUAGAAAUUCAAAAAGGCAUUGGAAAUUUUGAGAGUUUGAAUUCAACAAAAAGGCUUGGCUCCGGAAAAGAAAAAAAUUAACCUGUUUUCGUAGUGAACUAGCUUGUUUGUUUUUAUUAACAUAGAUUCCUCUGUUUUUCCAACGUCUGUAAAAAAAUAAACAGGGUUUGGUGCCACUUCCUGGUUCCAACAACGAAUCGUGGUGCCAAGGUCUCGACGGCCUUGCUUCUCGUGCUGCUGCUUACUACCAACAAGGCGCUCGUUUCGCCAAAUGGUACAAAUCAUCAUUCAUUUCAGCUUCAUUUAAUAAAAAAACCCGUCUUAUUUCAAAUUUUUUUUAUAAACUAAAUAGUUAUCAAGCGUUUUCGAAAUCCCAAAACUUGAAAACACUGACAAUGUUAGUUUCCAGGCGCACAGUGGUGAGCAUUCCCAACGGCCCAUCAGCCCUUGCCGUCAAGGAAGCCGCCUGGGGUCUUGCUCGCUACGCUGCAGUCUCACAGGUCUCAACAAAUCAAACUUUUAAUAAUACCCCAUUUUGAUUUAUUAUAACUUGAUUUUGAAUUUGCAAUUUGCAGGACAAUGGGUUGGUUCCGAUCGUCGAGCCGGAGAUCUUGCUUGACGGUGAGCACGGGAUCGACAGAACCUUUGAGGUAGCACAGAAAGUUUGGGCAGAGGUUUUCUUCUACCUUGCAGAGAACAAUGUUUUGUUUGAAGGAAUUCUUUUGAAACCAAGCAUGGUUACUCCUGGAGCUGAGAGCAAAGACAAAGCAAGCCCUCAGACAGUUGCUGAGUACACUCUUUCUCUUCUCAAAAGAAGAAUCCCUCCUGCUGUUCCUGGAAUCAUGGCAAGUCAUUACAACAUAUCUUAAACUUUGAACGCUUAUUACCCUUAGAUGAUAUAAAUUAAAUUUAUCUUCCUCUAUUAACUCAAACUUUUAGAAUAAUUGGUGAUUUAAGAUGGUAUAAAAGGAUGUCAUCUAGAAAGUCAUGCGUAUUAGUUAUUAGCUCAACGUUUUAGGUAUAACGGUGAUUUGAGAAUUAAGUUGAUGAAUUGAAUGUGGGUUGUUUUUCUGUGGUUGUUGUGGAACAGUUUUUAUCAGGUGGGCAAUCUGAGAUAGAGGCUACAUUGAACUUGAAUGCGAUGAACCAAGCACCAAACCCAUGGCAUGUGUCCUUCUCAUAUGCUAGAGCUCUCCAAAACACUUGCUUGAAGACAUGGGGUGGACUACCAGAAAAUGUGAAGAUCGCACAGGAUGCUCUGAUUCAACGAGCCAAGUCGAACUCCCUCGCCCAGCUUGGGAAGUACACCGGUGAGGGUGAGUCCGAAGAAGCCAACCAGGAUAUGUACGUCAAGGGCUACACAUACUAAGCUUUUCUAUAGAUCAAGAAGAUGAAAGAAGAAGAAGAAGAAGAUGAUGAUGGUUGAAGACUAAUUGCUAUGUUUAUUGUGUUUAUGAUGAUGAUGCUUUAUAGCAAUUUAAAAAGAACAAAAAAAAAAAAAACUAUUUUUGUGUAUUCUUAGCAGCUUAAUGAACAUUUUGGUGAUGAUUUUUAGUUUAGUUUGUCUUCUUCUCAAAUCCUAUGUAAGAUGCUUGAAUUCGCAUUAAUCAUGAGCAUAUAUAAUAAGGCUUUUCCUUCGGUCUCAAGAUUU
rnacentral:lncRNA from 1 species